rnacentral:lncRNA from 1 species
AAUCUGACACAAUCCAAUUGGGACUGUAAGCAUAUCCGUCCCCGGGACUGUGAAUACACCCGUCCCUGCCCCGUUGCGACUGUCCAGCUACCUCCACACUAACUGGUCCGUGGAGAGCAAGUCCAACUGGCAUGAGCGACACCAACGCGAAAGCACAAAGCCCGUCUCCGGAGUGGCACUCGUGGGCGCUACCCAACCGAGUAUGCAGCGUAUCUCUGUCGAGCUCAAUCAGGCUCUCAAUAGCCAAAGUCAAGUAACCGACUCAAACUGGUCUAACAACCAACAGGUAACGUGCCCUCGGCACAAUCUGACGCCAAAAAGGCGAUACGGGUCCACCGUCAACUCUGACGGCACCCAACAGUCCGGAACAACCUGAACGACCCUGUAAAAAUUCACUCGGCAUACCAGCACGAGCGUAAAUGUAUUCUAAACUACCUGGAGUACUCGUCUUGAGGAUACUGCGACAGUACAAUUUUAUAACGGCUCCUAGAGCUAAAUCAGGCAGUUUAAACAGGUGACAGGUCCAAAUCGCAGGUUUUCUCCUAAUUCAAUUUCCAAGUCCAACAUGUAUAACCUACUUAAUUUAUUACCACAUGCUCCAAAUUCAGAUUUGCAAUCUAUCAUAUAAUCCAUGAAUUCGAGCUAGAAUAGAUUAUCAAAAAUCGAGAUCUAUACAUGUCGACGAUUAUGAACUUAGGAGUCAAAACCGAUGUAACCCACCUCGCACGCUAAUCCCUGGCAGCACGGAACCCCCUCGGCUGCGACACCACCUGCUGGAUCGACCAAAAACGCCCGAGUCUCGAAAUCGAGCUAACUCCAAACUAAAAACACCAAAAAUCCUCAAUUCAGUCCAAAAUCCACAGCAGCAGAGAAGAGAAGGAUUUCGACCAAGCUAACCUUCACCAAAAUUCGCAAGUAAGGGCUUCGUGGAUUCCUCUCGAAGUCCCGAAUCCAACGAACCAAGUCUCGUCGCAAUCCGAUGCUCCUACGUCGAGAACGAGCUGAAAUACUAACAGUCGACGACAAGAUCCUGCGAAUCAGCACUUAGGCUCGAAUUAAUGAUACCCGAAGUAUGCGCAGCAAUUCCACAGAGCACUCACCUCGAUAGAUCCUCAAGAGUCGGCGCAAUGUCGAGGACGACGGAAAUCCACGCUCGCCCGAGCUCCUCACAGCACCAAGACGACACAACGUGCGCCCGAACGGCUCCGCGGCACCACGUCGGCGACGAAACUCCACCCGAGCUCCACCUUGCUCACAAUCGGCUCUAGAGAGAGAGAGGGAGAGAACCAAGAGCAAAACUCUCUCUCUCAGUCUCACUCUACAAGUAAAUAAGCUGGGGAGAGGAGGGUGAUACGAACGAGGUAGAAAAAGACCAAAACACCCCCUCACCUAUCCUGGUGUACCGGUACACGGGAUCGCGUACCGGUACAGGAGGCCAACCCGAGAGCAGUACGUGCUCAACCAGUAUAGUGUACCGGUACACCUCGCUGGCCGUACCGGUACAGCAAGCAGGAAAAUCUGCUAUUUUGCAGAUUUCUUCGCUGAAGGCUGCCCUCGCGUCGCACGGAGUCCGUUUUGCGUCUAUUUGAUGCCAACGCGACUCGGACUUGUCCCGACACUCUUCAGAGCUGUCGACAAGCCUCCAUAGUCAAACACCAGGGAUCUCACAAAUAUUGCGUAUGUCACUCUCAAUACCAAACAGGCUUGAGUUUAUCGGCAAACUAUAAUAUUAUUAAAUAUGGCGCAUAUAAAUGCGUCUCUAAUAAAGUUUAAUUACAAAAUCAAAAUUACAUUUGUUUUCUUUGAGUUGUUAGUCACGUAAAAAAUAAAUCCAAAUUUAGUCAAAAAUCAAUAUUCAAACCUAAAUGUAAGGGAAAAAAAAAAAAAAAAAAAAAAAACGUAUGUUGCAAUCAACCAUCUGAUUCCGAAUUUUAUUAUUAUUUUUUUAAUAAUCGGCAGUAAUAUGAAGCUCAAAAAACUUAAAUAUCUCUGCAUUUCAUCUCGUAAAACAAUAAAAAAAGGUAAACAUAAAAAUUUUAAGCGUCAAAUGAUUAUCACGUGCUAUAAUUAAAGUUUGUGUAUUUUUAUUUUUUAGUUUUUAAUGUUUAAGUGGUUAAGUAUAAUCAUAUGAAAUAUCAAAAGGUAUAACAUACUUUUUUUAUAAAUAUAAUAAUAUAUCUUAAAUUCAAAAUGAUUCAAACUCAUUACUUCUGAAUCCAAAAUGUAUUGGGCACCCAAAUGACACAAAGAUUGAGCCUCAAAAUUCGACUUAAGUAUAAGAUGCAUUAACCAACUACAUCGUAUUUAUUUACAACGACAUGUACGAUUAUAAUAUAAUUUUUACAAAAUAAUUUGUUAGUGCACCCUUUUAUCAUAACCGAACUCAAACUUGAGCUUAUAGUAAUAUGAUGUGGAUCGAAUUAUUAUGGUCACAGAUAUAUGCAAACAGAUCUGACUUAGUGAAGUUUUGGACUCGAUUUUGUUCCAAAUGGGGCGGAAAGCAUGGCGUCAAAAAUAAAAAAUAAUAUAAUGCACAAGAAUCCGUCAUAAUCGGCUAAAUUAAAUGGAGCAGGAGACAGGAGACCCCUUUCUCUUUUAAUCUGCUCCGAUCCGCUAAAAAUUCGUCAAAAAUUUGAUCAGUCCCAAAUUGCACUAGAACUGGGGCUGAGAAAUAAAAUAAAAAUUAACCCGUAUGAAUCUGCUCUGACUUGCUAAGAUCUCCUUCUACCUCGGGAUCCACACUAUUUGCAUCCCUAAUCCGCUCCGACCUGUUAAGAUCCUCUUCAAUCUCGGGAUCUGCACCGUUUGCAUCCCUAAUUAUGGCGGGGCCCAAAUUAUUCUAUACCGACAAAGUGACAAAAAAAAGUAAAUAAAUAGAUAGUAAAUGCCCUAGUGGUGGCAACCAUGAUACGUGAUGAUGUGACACAUGGUUCCCCCGUUUGGGUGGAGUUGAUGCGGAAAUGCGCGGUUGCUAAAAAGCACUUUUUGUAAAAGCCAAAUGGGGAAUUUUGUGUUUUUUUUUUUUUUUUCUCUCUCUCCUCAGCUAUGGAAAAAUGAGUUUCCCCCUAGCGCUACUGCGUCGUGCCGCCGCUUCUCACACUAAACUCUACAAAGUAGCAUCUUUUCCAUAAGACUAAUAAAUUACAACAAAACUCUCCAUUGAACACUUCAUCACGUAUACAUCUUAAUUAUAAGCGUAAAUUUUAAAUGUCAUUUCUAUAGUUUCACAUUUUCUUACUUUAGUACUAUAUGGUUUAAAGUGUAUCAAUUUAGCAUCUUGUGGUUUCAUUUUUUUCUUUUCGUAAGCUCCUCCGUUAACAUUUCGUUAAAUUAUAUGCAAAAAAGUUCAAAUAGCCCACCUAGGUUUCUCGUAUAUUUAUUUUAGUAAUUUUUAGUUUUAACUUUGUCACCGAUUUAAUAAAAAAAAUUAAUGAAGAGAAUAAUAAAAAAUAAAAAUAAAAAUACGGGACACUACAUUAAUACACUCUAAAUUAUAGAAUACUAAAAUAAAAAAGUAAAAAACCUAAAAAUAAAAAUAAGAAGUAGCUUUCAUCCUGCUCUACAGGACUCGGCCCACUCUUUUGCAAACACUCCAAUAAUUCGGACGUCACCCUGCUCUACAGGACUCGGCCCAUUCUUUUGCCAACACUCCAAUAAGAUUAGCUGUUCGGGAAACGUCGCUGGGUAGAUUUCUGAAGAUGACGUUAUUUAUAUCGUGCCAGACCAACCACCAAGUGGCCGCAACCAAGGUAAGAGCCUUCGAAGCGUCGCACUGCAGGCGCCUCUCUAGUAGCCGCUCCCAGACAAUGUUGGUAUCUUCAAAACACGGGUAUCCGAGAUACUCCCCAAGGUGCGAGUGAAGAAGAAACUUACUAACAAUUCACCCCAAUAGCAGAUGGUCUACAGUCUCGAGCUCAACACCACACAAUUUCGCGCCCCCUUCCUUCUGUUUUUUCGCUUUUCUGAGGCCCUAGCUGUUAGAUGUAUGCCCUAGAAGCCAGCCAGGUCGACACAUAUAUUCAUUCUAGGGCAUAAAUUUGUAUUUGACUUUUAAAUAUUAUGAAUAUCUUUGGAUUUUUAUUUUCAUUGAUGUUGUGUAUGUGUCCAUGAAUCGUCCAAGGAAUUAAUAAGAUGAUGACAUAUAUUCUCAAGUGUUGAAAAUUUGAGACAUGUGCCAUUGGUGGUUAAUUUCUAAAUGCUCCCGAUCAAUGGAUCAUCACGGGGACGGUGAUUGAUCCGGUGAGAUUGGUGCAUAAGUCGCUUCCCUUUCUGGUUAGACGAGUCUCGAGUCGACAGUGUGGGGACACUGAAGCGAAUAUGCAGGUGGUUGCUGGAGAACAAGGGUACCGAGCGUGAGCAACGCGAGAAGUCACUUGGAUGUCUACUCACUCGUCAGUGACUUACUCAAUUGUUGCAGUAGUGUGACUGGUCCUUUGACCUGCGGUGCCUCGGCUAUUCACAAUGAGGUUACUGUAGUUUGACUGUACAUACACUUGGUCCCUAGCCAUUCGGGUCCUUGCGGUGCAUGUUGGCUGCAGUAGGUUCAUUGUAGGAAUAGGGUGCGCACUUAGAUGGAAUCUAUCUCCCUUGGUAGAUAGGGGUGUUAGUCCUAUGUGAUUUAUGAGACCGAGUUUAGAAGACCUUGGCCAGGGCAGAAUAAAUAGCGGAAAAGGGUUUCCGAUAUUAGAAACUCGAGUCGAAUAAAUUUAACAUAUGACAGACGAUGGGGUUUGACGAGUUAUUCCAUAACCUCCGUCUAGUCGGGACUCAUGAUAGAAGGAUUGUAUCACACGGUAACUGCACCAAGAGGUUCAGUAUUCCAUUCUACUGGAAUGCCACUACAUGCUGCUAGGCGUCACUGGUGGAUUGUGAGACUCAUGAGAAUUAUCUAGAUGAUCGAUAAUUCUCAUUGGGCUGAGUUGGAAUUGUUCCGAUCCACUGAAAGGAGUUUCAGUGAUAUUGUUGAUAGUGAUCAAAAUAUAUCUCACUACCAGAUAGAAUAGAACCUAUGGGGUCACACACAUAAGAGGUUGUGAUUGAUCGGAUAGCUAGAUCGCGAUUAUUGAAUCGCCGGAGGACCUAAUUGUCAAUAUAAUGAUAAUUGGACUAAUUUGUAAUUGUUACAAAUUAGUGGUAUUAAGGUGUAAAUGUUACAAGAGAGGACUUACUAAUAGUUAGUAAAUUAUAAGAGGACUUAUGUGCAAAUGUUGCAUUAUUAAUUUGAUAUGAUCAAAUUAAUAUAAAGAUCGAAUCAAAUUAGGAUUUGAUCGAUCUAACCAAUUAAGGAAAGGAUAAAUUUAAUCUAGAUUUAUAGUUAUCCUUAAUUGUCAUUAUAUUAUUAGGAAUAGGAUUAUAUUCCUAUAUAUAUAACAUACGGGAGUUUUUAGAAAACCCUAACCGUCAUCUAUCAUCUCUUCUCUCUUCCAUCUUCUAGCAAGAAAGACGUCUUUUUGCAAGGGAGCUAGCACCCCGGUGAGGACAUCGAUCAAAUCAAGAACUUCGUGUGGAUACCUAUAGAGGCCGGACGCGUGUGCGGCUUCAAGAGAACCGAAUUUCACGAUCAUCAAAUUGAGGUGAAGAUUUAUCCGCGAAUAAGAUAAAGAUUCGAUCUUACUCUUCUCCUUUAAUCUUAAAGAACAUGAGGGAUCCUAAUUGCGUGGUUUUUGAGAUUUGAUCUCGAGAGUUUUCAAAAAUCAAAUUUGUUUGAUUUUUUUUUCCGCUGCGUUUUUACCGUACGCAAUUUUCUAACAGUGGUAUCAGAGCCAUCCUCAUGUUUUUAAGAUUGAAAUUAUGAUUUUUGGGUAUUCUAAACCGUUUUUUGCCGAGAAAACAAUUUAUAGAUCGUUUUUGGAAAAUUCGAAAAGAUCAAAGUGAUUAACAAUUUCGCGCCACUAGCAGAUGGUCUACAGUCUCGAGCUCAACACCACACAAUUUCGCGCCCCCUUCCUUCUGUUUUUUCGCUUUUCUGAGACCCUAGCUGCCUUACUUCAUGUAGCUAAUUUCAUUUUCUUAAUGAAUGAAGCAGGUAACGUGCUGCCUUUCUCUCUCAAAAAAAAAGUACAAAACCACCGGGGUGGUAUUUGAAGUUUUCUCUAAUUAUAAGCUCUAGAAUGGUAUCUCGUUAGGAAACUCUCAAUCCACUGUCGCGUGGUAAUUUUACUUUUAUUCAAAAAUUGUAAACUGCGUUGCGUAUUAUUUUAAUCCCAAAACUAAAAAAAAAAAAAUUACAACUUUAGAGAGAAAAGUUAUAAUAUUUGAAUAGAAACAAAAUUAACACGAAACAGCAGAUUAUGACUUCUCAAUGAAAUGUCAGGUUUUUUUUUUUCUUUGGCAAAUAAUUAUAGUUUUCAUAAAUGAGUUGGCCCCCACUUUGGGAAGGGGAGGGUAGAUCCAAACCCUUUUAGGAUUGAGUUUUUAUAUAUAUAAUAAUUUAGUAAUAGAUUUUUUUUUUUUACAAUAAAAUUUUGUUUUUAUUUUUUAAUUUGAAUCCUGUAUAUUGUUACUGUGUCAAAUUAGUUGUAUCUUAGACGGAUGGUCAGAUUAAAAUUGGUAAAAUCGCGUGGAGAUCCCCCAACUUCAGGCAAUGUUGAAUUAAGCCUCAUAAAUAUUCUUUUGUCAUUGGCGCCCUGUUAAUUUUGAAAUUUUCAUUUGAGGUAUUUUUGUUUGUCUAUGUUAUACAUUUUAUUAAGUUUAAUAUUUUUACUAGCUUUUUUUUUUUUUGUUAAUACCUGUAGGGGUUAUUUGCUACAAAGUGAAUUAAGUUAUUAAACUGGAUGAAAUCGUUGGUGGAGUUUGAUAAAAUCAUCAAUUUAUUUGCUAAAAUCACUUAAUUCUAAAAUAUUCUAGAUUCAGAAGGAGUUAAUAAUAUGAGUUGAGCUAGAAUACUAUCGAUAGCAAAUGGGCUCCGUUGCCACCCAUUUGUUUUCGAUGAUGGAGCCUCCAAAUUGACGAUCAGCACUGUUGAAUAUGAUCUAUACCACUUGAAGUGUUUAGAAAUCAAAUUUUAUAUAUUUUCGAUAUUGUUCUCUUAUCUAUCGAGCGGACAUAAAAAUAAACGGCUGAAAAUGAAUAUUCUUUAAAAAAUGAUGAUAGGAGUCUUGUAAUCAAGAUCAAAAGUAUAGAUCUUGUUUUAAAUAGUUUAAAAAAUUUUCUAACAAAAAUUCAAUUAAUUUGGAUAUCUUUACGCCGUUAAACGAGAAAAUGCCUCAUAUUGACCAUUAAAAUUACAAAUUUUGAAAUCCUUUGAUCAUUAGGCAAAUGAUGUCAAAAAAAUUUGAAAAUUGAUUUCUAAACACUUCAAGUGGUAUAGAUCAUGUUCAACGAUGCCGAUCGUCGAUUUGGAGGCUCUAUCAUCGAAAACAAAUGGCUGACAAUGGAGCCCGUUUGCUAUUGAUAGUAUUCUAGCUCAACUCUUAAUAAUAUAUAUAUAUAUAUAUAUAUAUAUAUAAACUUGAGUGAGCCAUUUCACAAUUGCCUAUAGUGGAGGGAGUUAUCAUGAAUCUUUAACUUUUAUAUUUUAUUUGGAAUUUAAAAUUGGGAGUGGGAAUCACUUUGUGAAAGUGUAAGAUUUGAAAGGAAUAUAAGUGCCAAUAUUUUAAACAACUAUAUAAUUUAUGUAAAGCUAAACAAAAAGCAAUGAGGAGAAAAUCUCUUAUUAAUGAUAAGAAAUAUAUGAUUUAACUUUUUUUGUCUUAAUGCAAAGGCAUAUGAAAGCAGUUAAUUUAAUAAAUAAAGUUAAAUAAUGAUUACUAGCUUAGGCAUAAAAGCAUGGCAUCUUUGAGGUUAUAUUCCAACUGAGAGGAUAUGAUAAGAUGGAGAGAGAGAGAUUGAAAGAGUUAAUAUAAUCACCUUUACAUUUAACAAAACUAUAUAUUAGGCUAAAUUAUGAAAAACUUUCUUAUAAAUAUCUAUUUUUUCACUUUUUCUCUUUAAUAUUUAAAAAUUUAUAUUUUACCCUCUUAAUAUUUCAAAUUGUUGAAUUUAAUCCAUCUUCGUCAGAUUUUAUCAUUAUUUCGCCCAUUUCUUAUAAUGUAUACCAAAAAUAUGCUUCAAAAUGAUAAAAAUAUAUUCAAAAAAAAUUUCUUAUAGAAAAAGUGAGGACAAUUUGAUUAUUUCACCUUCUCCAUUAUUGUCGUAUUCCCUUGAAAAAAUAUUUCUGAAGUUACAAGGGGGCAAAAUAUAAGUUUUUGAAAGUUUUUUUUUUUUUUUGAGAGAUAGGUAGCACGUUACCCGCUUCGUUUAUUUUAUUUAGAAAUAAACUUUGCUGGAAAUGUAAAUCAACUAGGAUUCGAACUUGGGUUUCGGGUACCAACCACCAAGCCCUUUGCCAUUUGCUCUAGGAACGGUCGGUAUAAGUUUUUGAAAGUUAGCGAGAAAAAACGAGAAAAAAAUAAAAAAGCGAGUACUUACGUAGGAGUUUUAUAUUAUUUUGCCAACUAUUAAUUUAACUAUUAAAUAUAAACGAUUAAAAUAUCAUUAUUUUGGUAGUUCAACUCUUUAGAAUAAAUCAAUUGUUUCACAUGAAUUAAAAAUAAAAAAUCCUUAGAUCAAAUCUAGAUUUAUGCUUUUAAUAUGGAUCAUAACCACUAACUAACUAUCCCAAAAGUAUAUGAUGAUAGAGAGAAAGCAUCCAUUGCAUUUAACGGCACAACCACAACGCUCACGGACUUUGACCUAACACAACUCAUCUGUACGUUAGAUCUACUGUUGGAUUUUUUAUCGUUAAGUCUCUUAUGGAUUAAAGCCCCACUCAAUUUAUUAAUCUCAAUUUAACUCAACUUAUCUUGGAAAAUCUGACCUACCUGCCGCACCUACACCCCUACAGUACAUGCUGAAAGAAAUGGUGCACCAUUGCACUUAAGAGAUCAACCACAAUACUCAUGAGUUUUGACCUGACUCAACUUUUCUGAACGUUAGGUCCAUUGUUAGAUUCAUUGUUGGGUCUCUUAUCGUUAAGUUUAUCGUAGACCGCAAACUCACUCAACUUAUUAAUCUCCCAUAUUGUCACGGGACAAAAUGUUGGACAUAUUUCAAGCAAAAUUUACAGCCUUCUAUAAAAAUCAAAAGUUCAAUAGAUUUCUACCCAAAAAAAUUAAAAAAGGAAAAAAUGUAUAGGACUUGCUUGAAUUAUGAACCAUUUUGAAUCUAUACCUUUGAAAAUUUUAAUUUUAAUACCCAACCUUUCAAUUUGUUUGAUUCGAGUUGGUCAACGAUAUUUUGACUUAAAAAUUUGAAUGCUUCGCAUAUCUUUACAGAUUUUGUUAAUAUAAUUUCAUACAAUUCUCAUAGCUAUAAAUUCAUUAAAAUAAUAAAUUAGCAUUUGAUGAUUUGAUCUAAACUAAUUUAUUAUUGUAAUACCAUUGACUAACUCAAAUCAAAUAAAUUAAAAGUAAAAUCAAAUUUUUAAAAAGUCAAAUAAUCAAUUCAAAAUAGUCCAUAGUUCAAGUUCCUCCCAUCUCCGUUUAUCCCCGCCCCGUUUAGGGCGGAUCCCCACAAAAUCCAGAUCCGCGGAGAAAAUAGUCAUUUCUAGUUUUCCACAAGUUUUAUAAAUCAAGAAGUAUAUUAUGAAAAUGUAACUCCACAAUAAACUGCUUAAAACACUAAAAUAAAGCAGCUGCUGCAUUCAGAUGACCAACAUUCUUAUCACAAAAGAAAAGGGGAGAGAGAGAGAGAGAGAGAGAGAGAGAGAGAAACAAUGAGCAUACAAAAUUCAAGAAAAGGAUCAUGCUGCUUACAAUCUGCAAUGUUCAUAAAAGAUUGUGCAUCUCUAGUCUUUUUAGCAAAAGGGCACAAACUCUGACACUUUUUAGAUUAGGCACUAAGAACUACAUUAAGCACACUAAGAGGAGCUCAUAUAUUUGAAGGGGGGGUUGGGAACUCAAACAACAUAUCGAUAGGUCACGUAUCUUCCUGCAGUCUCACUCGGUCGAAUGAUCUUCACCACCUGCCCACGUUUUAGGCCGUAGUAUCUCGCUAUUGGGUCCGUAACUUGAAUCCGAGGAAGCUGGAUGCAUGACCCAUCAAUAAUGUCAAUCAAUAUUAAUAUAUAUAUAUAUAUAUAUAUAUAUAGAAAAUAUAAAUGUUAUGUUUUAGAAAAUUACUUUACACAACCAGUAGCUAUGCAAACCAAGAGAAAACUGUUAUUAAAUAAUUAUAUCAACAAAAGAAAAGGGGGAAAUAGCAGCAGAAAUAUGAUGCUUGUUAUAGAAAGUUUCUAAAUUGUAUCUCUGAUAACCAUUAACAUUUAUAUUUUCUAUAUAUAUANUACACAACCAGUAGCUAUGCAAACCAAGAGAAAACUGUUAUUAAAUAAUUAUAUCAACAAAAGAAAAGGGGGAAAUAGCAGCAGAAAUAUGAUGCUUGAUAUAGAAAGUUUCUAAAUUGUAUCUCUGAUAACCAUUAACACAGAACAAGCUCUCAAAUCAUAAACUAUACAUUAUCUGAGCCUCGAAGCCAUAAAUUGUCUUGCAAGAGAAUUUCAAACAAGAAUUAGUUAAUUCUUUCAAGUGUUGAAUCCAAGGAGACGGCUUAUUAAGUAAUUAUGUAAAGGAUUGUUAAGUCUUUGUAUACAAGUUUUUCUUUAAAUUGAACUCGCAAAGUAGAUUGAGCAUUAUCUCUAAUCAUGUAAAACUCAAGCUUCAUAGGAACUUAUUUGCUUGCCAAGGGAUUGUUGCUCUGAGUCCUGAACUGAGACCGACAACAUAAUUUCUUCUAGGUUUUUAAAGGUUGUGAAACUCAACGAGCGCUUAUGAACUCUAAGUACAGCUACACAUUUCGCGUAGGUUUUUUGCAGUUUCAAAAUUCGAUAGUCACUUGUGAACUCUAAAUAUAGCUAGCUUCUACUUCCUCCGGAAAGUACGCAAGUUACGUUGCGUAAGUGAUGAUUAGCAUGACAUAUGCAAGCAGGGUAAGAAACUUAACUGCAAAGAUUGUGAAAAGGGAAACACAGGGUACAACAAUACAUAUUCAUACCAGUAUAUGGCCAACAAGCAUGUAUUAGUCAAUCGUUUCCUUUUCCCAAGAAUUUAAACCAAGAAACUGGGAGAUAUAUAUGACAAAUAUGGAUAGAACAAACUUAAACUUUUAUAACAAAGAUGCAUGCCUUGCCAAGCAGGUCAAAAGUAGAUGUAAGCAAUUUAGACUUCAAUAGGCAGUCUGUAUAUUAAUAUUAAUAUAUGGCAUGAACAAAACGGAACCAGCAGCUCCUUACUUUAUUAAGCAAGAAAACAACCACAUCAAAUCAGUCAAUUAGUCUUUUUAGAAGCUUUGUCCGAGUAGUCAAUUUUUAAAUGACAUUGAAACAAUAAAACAGUAGGUACUGUCAAGCCUGACCCAUAUAAACAAAUAAAAGAGGCGAUGGGAAAAAGGAGAAAGCCAGAAAGGAACAUGGGACAAAAAAGGGAUAACUGGGAAAAUAGUUUUAGUCCAUAAACGGCUUAGUUACACUGUACUACAUUGUACUUUACAUAUUUUUUCACCUUCUACAUUAUAAUACUGUUUUAUUUUUCAAAAGAACCACUCGACUAUCCUUUUUUUUUCAAUCCCUGCACUAUAAAUAAUAAACAAAUAAUUUUGGAUGAAAGCUGUUAAAAAAUACUGAUUGAAAGUGAUACGGCAAAUAUUCAUCUCGUUUUACAUGAAUAAAAACAAAAUACAUUAAGAUAACGAAAAAAUAGUUAAAUAAAAAUUUGAUAGAUGUUUUUAGUGAGUUUAUAUAAAAAUUCAUUUUACAUUUUUCCAACUAUUUAACCAGUGCCUUUUUAAAAACUUGAUAGAUGUUUUUAGUGAGUUUACCAUAAAGAUUCAUUUUACGUUUUUCCAACUAUUUAACCAAUGCAUUUUAAUAAAGAUGUUACAUUUUCUCUAAAACAGUAGAUUUGUUGUAGAGAUUGGCGAGAAAGAAAUAGUUGAGUGAUACUUAUGAGGAAAGAGAAUAGUACAAGGUAGAAAAAAUGGAAGUUAUUUAAAAUACAGUGUAUAGAUUGAUAAAAUAUAAUAAAACAAUGGUGUCUUUGAAAAAAUAUUAGUAAAAUGCAGCAAAUAAAAAUAACACUAAAGUACAGUAUAGUAGGGUGUAAUGAAGCCUUCAUAAAAAGCGCAACAUAUUAAACUUCAAGGACUAGAGGCUAAAGUGCAACCCACAUAAUAAUCUUGAGGAACAAUGGCGGAAUUUAGCCAUUUUAGUCCAAACAUCUAUAACAAUUAGGAUGAUUUAGACCUGGAGAAACCCAUUUUGCAUACCAUGUAAACCAAAUCAUUAUGAUAAAUCCUCGAUAACAAACUAUCAACUGCCACUACAAUUCACCUUCCAAGGGAGGAAUCCCAAAAGGGAUAUCCAAAAAUGUUGCAGUAUGCUAUGCUGCCUACUUCACUAAAAUUAUAAAAAUCCGCCUUAUAGCAACCACCCACCAUUCACAAGUGGAAAUAACAAAUAGGACAAGGACCGAACAAUAUGGAAACAACCUAUACUAUCAAAAUUUCCCUGAGAGAGAGAGCGAUGGUAGAUAUCAUUCAGCUCCAGUCCUAUUCUUAGUACUGAUUUAAUGACACUGGACAUUAUAUGCAUUUAAACAAGAGGUGCUAUAACAUUUACAUACAACUAAGAUAAUAUCUAGCUGACUAAAUGAGGUAUGAUUGCUUAGUCUUGUCCAAUUUUGGCCCUAAAACAAAUGACACUUGUCCAUAUCGUAUGUAUAUGAUGAUGAGCACAACAAGUGGAUAUAAAUUUGCUUUUUGAUUAUAAAUUACGAGACUUUGCAUAAUUAUUCAGCAGACAUUUUCUAUUCAUGAAAAAUCUCUCCAACAAAUUACCACAAGAAUUGUGAGAUUUCAUGUGUUAAUUCCAUUGAUGUUGUAAGAAGUCAAAGUAUAAGGAAUUACAUAGAUGUUGUUUUCCACACCGUGGGUUUAUACCAUAUAAUUAUUAUUUAGUAUAAUUAGCCUAUGUUCACAGCCGUCAGAACUCAAAAAAAAAUCUGGAUUCUGUUGAUACAAUGCACGUAAAAAAAUGAAGUUGAUGUACUAAUAAUUCAAAGAAUUACCAAAACAAUGAUUAAAUAAUAAACAGCAGCCAAAAAAAAGAAAAAGAAACGACAGUUCAACUUACCUGAGUUUCUUUUACAGUAUAGCGCUCCAACAGUGUCUUCUUCUCCUCUGGAGUCAACAGUUGAUGCUCUGGUACAAGUACAUGCUCUUUGAUGUUGACCAAAAGCUCUGCCUCCUGCAUUUAGUACAUAGUAUAUAAAACGUCAUUUCAUAUCUUUCACAUGCAAUUAGAAGCUAAAGAAAGAAAAUCGUUCAAUUUAUGCACUAAGGUGCAAGUUUCAAUGUUCUCAUGCUUUAGAAAAUAAAUAAGCACUCACUUUAAAGGCUAUUGUAAUACCAAAAACGAUUGAAAGGGAAAAAAAAGAAUCACCUGAAAAACUUCCAAAUGAUAUUUCUGAGAAACUUCAAGCAAGGAUGAUCUGGCGAAGGGAGUCAGAUUCUGUUGAGCAACUAAUAUUCCUCGCAUCACAUUCUCUGCUUUCAUCCGUUCUAUAUAUUGUUUUAUUUGUUUCACGCCAACUUUCGGUUCUUCCGGGAAGAACACAUAAAUCUGGAUCCAUGAACAAGAGAAGAAGAAGAAAAAAUUGUGUUAUUGGAUAUGGGAGUAGGCAAAUAGGCAGUUUGGCACAUAAUAAAGAGGCGAAAUUUGAGCUGAUAUAAUCUGAGUAAACAACUGCAAUAUAUGAAUUGUAUAAGGCUAAAUAGAUAAUGCAAAUCAAGUACAGACCGAUAAUGCAAGUGUGCAGAAAUUUACUAAGGCAGAAAGUAAACUACACUAAAUUUUUCUUUUCCUCCAACCUAAUCCAGAUGGAUGACACAGAAUACAUGGUGGCAAAGAGGACUAAACAUAAAAAAGCAAAGGAGAGAUAAUGAACAAACUAAUAAUACAUGCGGGUGACCAUAAAACAAAUUGUGCUCUCAUUUUCAUUCUGAUUACUUACAUUAAUGAAGACAAAGGAAAAUAAUAGAAAUGGUUCUUCUAUGCCAAACAGAACCUUCUCUCCUCGCUAAGGCAUCAAUUCCCUGACCCAUUAUUUUUUUCGUAGACAAUUGUUAUAAAAACAUAUUUAACGUUCUUACUUUCUAGCAGCUGAAGAUGAGGACAAACAUGAUUCUAAUUAAAAUUACAAGAAAACAACAACUAUUCACUCAAAAAUAAAAGUGGGCAUGCCCAUAAUGACUGUUUGAAGGACUUUCAUCCAUCCAAACACAAUUGUUCCAAAUAAACUACACCAUCAAAGACAAGAUCGGUCUUCCUUCUUAAAAGGGAGCAAAUUUCAUAACCUUAACUAUAAUAGUCUUAAGCAGACCAACGAUAACUCCAGUACAAAGUUAAUAUGCUAUUCCAGAGUCCUCUCUUUGAAAAUACUUGAGUAGACCGCAUGGACGAACAUCUUAUAAAUUGAAUUCACAUUUUUUCUCUCUAUUUCUGCCAAUACAAUGUCCUUCUAUUUUCUCUGUUAUUCCCAGUGCCUCCUUAUGGUUCACAAUCUGCCUUCUAUAUAAACAUCCACCAUAUAAUGGAUGAACCAAAUGAUUUAAACAGUAAAACAAGCAACAAUGCUUACAACAGAUAAAAACAGUAACGUGCUGUUGCGCCCCCUUCCAUUAGGGCAAAAUGGAAAUCGCUACCCGAACUUCAAAAAGAUGAUAUAAACUACAUAAACUUUCCAAUUCUUCCACAUCAAACCACCUAGUCUUGUAUUCUGUUAAUUUUUCUCAACAAUCUUCAAUAACAUGAAAACCAAAAUAACUCAAGCACCCUUAAAAUGUAUCCAGCAUUUAAAAGAAGAGAGGCAUUUGUGUCAUUUAACUUCCAAAAUCCCAAGCAAGGUGGUUGAUUGAGACAAUUAUAAAGCUCACUUCAGUCUAAUUUAGGGUAUAAAUGUACCAAUCUUACUUGAACUAUUGCAUAUAUUGAAAUAGAUAUUUGAACUUCGAAAAAAAAUUUAGUUAAUUAUAUAACCUUACAGUGCUUUUGGCAUAGGUAGCUAAACUUUGAAGUCUAAUUUUACUACCUCAUCUUAACAGUAUUUGUAACUUUUUUAAAAAAAAAAUUAAAACAUAGGAUGCUUCCCUGCGCAUAUUCACUGAAAAUAAAAGCUUACAAUGAGAAACAUCACGGAGAAUCUACAUGCCCACCAGCCAUCAAGAGAAACAUAAACCUCCCAUCCCAAACAAAUAACAAGAUAUAAGUUGACAUGCUCCAAAAGUGAUACGCUCAUACAUUCUCAACAGACCAUAAGGUAAACUAAUAAGAGAAAGAAGAUAGUCUAAGAGACAAACAGACCAUAAAGAGUACUAACCAUCUAAGAAUCUACUAAAGCCUCGAUCGCAAAGAAGCAGCUAGAUGUCAUAGUCUACAAAGCGGUCAAGACCUGCUGCCGUCGCCAUUGCCUUGGCAAGGAUGUCGAAGAGACAAGCAGACCAUGAGUUGCAUACUUUGCAAUCUAACAAAAUAUUUUGAUCCCUAACAUAAUAUCUAGUAUUCUAUAUAUAAAAGCACGCAAUCGGCAGAUGGAAUCUUGAUUGGAAUAUCCUCCUAAACCUUAUUCCUCAGCGGUCCAUGGUUUUCAGUUUACCACGGACCCCUAUUACUCCUUUCUGAUGGCCACUAUGGUUUCCCAUUUAUAUGUAGAAUCCUCCUUUAAUUUGGAUUGUUAUUUAAUACUACAAAAUUUUAGUGUGAGAAAGAAAGAAAAAAUGAUAGACCAACAUGGUUUCCUCAUUUAUUUCGAAUCCUCCUUUUCUAUAUCAUUUUUGAAGAUUCUUCAUAAAUUGCAAAUUUCUUAAUUGUUAUCUUAUCUUCCAAGUUGAAUUUGUUUUUAUUUUUCAAUUCGAUAUGCCCAACGAAAUAACUACGACGUGCAUUACACAUAGGGUACGACUAGUUCUAUUAAAACUUAAAAGCACUAUAAGGUCUAUAUAUUUUCACCGAAUUUUCGACUUUCAGCAUUCGAGCGGCACCGAGAAAUCACCAAAAAUUCAACAAACUUUCGUCGGGGCAGGGAGGGUGAGGGAUCGACCUGGUCGGAAGGGUCGUUCUUCUUGGCCUUGUUGAUGACGAGGUCCUCCCGCCUCACAGCCUCGCCGAACUUGUCCAAGAACUGCCUCUUGUUCAUCUCGAUCUCCACAUCCAAGACCAGGUAACCCCUGUCCCUCAGUAUCUGCAUCACCGUCCGUCGGAUCCGGAACAAACGGCUGAUCUCAUCGUCCGAUGCCAUCUCCUCCUCCUCUUCCUCCUCCUCCUCCUCUUCUCCCUCUCCCUACUAAACCCUAGAGCCAAUCAUGAAGAAACAGAUAAAAGAUACAUCAACACUAAACAAAUUUAUGAGUAAAUUUCCAACGAAUUCGAUCCAAAAACAUAAAAUCCACACCAUUAUGAAUUUAAUCAAAAUUUAUUAAAAUUAAUUGUCGAUCAACAGCAUGAAAAACUUACAAAAUAAAUCAACGUUUAAUCAAUCACAAUCCACAAACAGUAAAAAAUAAUUAUUCGCUUUGAAAAAGCUAACACGCAAAAUGCUAUUAGAGCCCGGACACACUUCCAUAAAAUUUUUAAAAAAUAAAAUAAAAUAACAACAUAUAUAGAAAUGUUAGAAAACAAAAAAACACACGUAAAACAGUAAAAGUAAAAAAACAAAAUAUCUUUUUGGCUCUAAAUAACUAAUAAUGAAAAUCACCUAUUUCACUUUAAGAAAAAAAAAAAGGGUAAAACAUUAGAGAUAAUAAGUUAAAACUGUUAAAAUUUGAUACUGUUUAAAAAAAAAAAAAGUUUUAAGGGAACAAACUAAAAAGAAAAUGCUAUAUCACACGGAGAGAAUUAAAAAUUAAAAAGUUAAAAAAAAAAAAACUGUUUAAGAACACUGUUUUAAGAACAAAUUAAAUUUAAGAAUACUGUUUAAAGAGAUCCAAAAAACCCUUUGUAAUUUCAAAUAAUUUUAAGAACAGAUUCACAUGUUUUGUGGGCGCGUGUGUGCGUGAGAGAGAGAGAGAGAGAGAGAGAGAGAGAGAGAGAGAGAAGAAGACCUCGGCGGAGGCUGCCAGCAGCGGCGGAGGAAGGCGGGCGCAGGAGAGAAGGAAGCCGGCGGAGCUGCGGAGGUGGCGGAAGACUGGCGGUGACGAAGGUUGGGAGGGAGCGGAGGAGCGGAGGCGAGCGAGAAAGAGGGCGAGGCGACCGACGGGGGUUUAGGGCUUUCAGUUAGGACUAGUCAAUGGACGUGCGCUCCACGUAUUAAUUUGCAUAUUAAAUUAAAAAUAUAUUAAAUUAUUUUAAUAUUAAAUUAAAAAUUUAUGUAUAUAUAUAUAUUAAAUAAUAUUAAAUUUAUAUAAUAAUUAAAUAAAUAAUAUUUUUUUCACAACUAAAUAAAUAGUAUAGUAUUUUUAGAUUAGAAGCCUUGACUAAUUAAUAAUUAAUAAUUAUAUAAAGUUAUUAAAUUUGAUAUAUUUUUAAUAUAAAAAGAUAUAAAAUUUAAAUUUAAAAAAUAGUAAAAAAUUGAGGAUCUCAACAAAAAUAUAAAAAACAUUAGAGAGACCUAUUUAAAAAUGGCCUAUAGGCUGUUUCUAUAGCUUCGAUUAAUCUAAUGUCAAGUUAACUAUGUGUUACAAAUAUUUUCUAAAUAAAAUAACAUAAUAUUAAAAUUAAAAAUUAGAAAUCAUAGAAGAAAGUUAAAUUAAAUUUUAUAAAACUAAAUUAUAUAAAGAAAUAUCAUAUUAUUAUACUCUUAAUGGAUCUAAUAAUAUCCUAAUCUAACCUAGAAAACUAUAAGAAAACGUUUAUAGGGCAAUAAUGUAAUAUCCAAUUUCAGUUUUUUGCAAAUCAAUUGUCACGCUCCGGAUAUCACGUUUCCCGGGCGCACCGACAAAUCCGUCGUAUACAAAGAAAUUUUUCAUAUAUACGAAGUGAAGCUGUAAUUGUACCAGUAAUAAUACAACACUACAACCAGUAGUAUAGAGCUGCUAAGGAAAAUAAAACAUGAGUAUAUAAUAAAAAUGGAUCAGUACAUACACAGUAUUCUGGUACAAAAACACUCGCUCCAGCGAGGUAUAACAUCAGUAUGUAAUGAACAAAAAACUACAACUACCUGUAGCUGGUACUCUACUAGCUCUGGCUCAUCUGGUAAGGCUCUAACUCGCGACGCCCUUGCCACGAUCAGGAUCAGCAGCAGCCGACGGCGAUGGCUCUGCAAAACGAAAAGGAACAACAGGGCGUGAGAACUACUGUAUAAACAAGUAGUCCUCAGUGGGUGCCGCCCUCAACAACGUCAGUCCACCCACUAAGUCUACAGAAGGAAACAAGAAUAGUAGGAAAUGCUAGAAGAAAAUCUAUAGCUACAAGCCACUAUACUAUCAUGCUAUACUCUAACCAACUGUAGUAAAUGUCAAUUCUGACCCAAUCCAACUGGAACUGUAAGCCUACUCGUCCCUGAGACUGUGAACACACCUAUCCCGCCCGGUUGCGACUAUACAGCUACCAAUACACUAAUCGAUCCGUGGAGAGCAAGUCCAACCUGCACGAACGACACCAACGCGAAAGCACAAUGACCGUCUCCAAAGUGGCACUCGUGGGAGCUACCCAACCGAGUAUGCGGCAUAUCUCUGUCGAGCUCAAUCAGGCUAUCACAAGCCAAAGUCAAGUAACAGGGUCCAACUGGUCUAAUAAUCAACAGGUUACGUGCCCUUGGCACAAUCUAACGCCAAAACAGCGAUAGGGUCCACCGUCAACCCCGAAGGCUCCCAACAGUCCGGAACAGUCUGAACACUACUGUAAAAAUACACUCGGCAUCCCAGCGCGAGCGUAACUGAAAUCUAAACUACUUGGGGUAUCCACCACACUGAUACUGUAGCGAUACAAAAUAACAACGGCUCCUAGAGCUAAAUCAGGUAGUUUAAGCAUAUGACAGGUAAUAAUCGUUGUUUUCUCCUAAGUCAAAUUCCAGUCCAACAUGUGCUAGUAGAUACAUGCAACGAGGAAGCUCCAAUUUAGAUUUUACAUGGAAUAUGCCAAAAUUCAUGAACUGAGCAAAAUUUAUCAACACAAUAACACAUGUCGACCAACUAUAUACUUAGAAGACAAACCGACGAUUAACCUACCUCGAUAGCUAAUCCCAAUCCGGCGCGACGUCGAGAACGGCGGAAUCACACACUCGUUCGGCCUCCCAACGCAGCCACCACAACGCUCGUAUGCUCGAACGGUUCCGCGGCACGACGUUGGCAACAAAACAACUCCACCCGAGCUCCUCCACGAACGGAUCAAGUCUAGAGAGAGAGAGAGGAGAAGAACCAGCCAAAGAACUCCCCUCAGCUUCUCUCUAUGCAGCUAAGUAGUAAGGAGAGGAGUGGGUGAUACGUACGAGGCAUAAAAAGUCAAUUAUGCCCCUCACCUACCCCCGUGUACCGGUACACUGGCAUCUGUACUGGUACAAAUGGCAACCCGAGAGCAGCUACGUGGAAACAGGCAAAGUGUACCGGUACACCUCCGAUGCUGUACCGGUACAAAAUGUGUACCGGUACACCCCUGAUGCUGUAACGGUACAACAAACAGAAAAAUCUGUAAUUAGUGUUUCCAAAGCGAACUUCUGCUCUCGCGUCCCUGCUGAGUUCGUUUUGCGUCUAUUUCGCGUCAACGAGACUCGGACUUGUCCCGACACCCUCACGGCGUGUCGACAAGCCUCAAAAGCUGAACAUCAGGGAUACUACAUCAAUCAUUUAUUUCUACUUCUAUUUUUAAUUAUACAUAUAUAUAUUGUUAAAAAAAGAUGAUAAUUUAUUAUUUUUAAAUUUAAUUAAAAUAAUGAACAACUUAAAAAAAAUACCUACAACAAGCUAGUAAAGGUCAAUAUAUAUAUAUAUAUAUAUAUAGAGAGAGAGAUGAGAGGAGAAGUCUGGAGAAAGGAGUUAGUGAAUACUCUCAAAGCCCCAAGGAUGGUGCUUUUGAGUUUUUAGCCUUGAAUGGAGAGAUGUAGGGUUGAGAUGAUGGUGUGUAAGAUGGUGGUUAGUUGGUGGUAGGUGAAUAGUGUUUGAUCCAAGAGGUAUUAGUAUUAAGGAGUAGAUCUAAGGGCUAAAAUUUAGAAGCACCAAGGGAUGGUUGCUUCUAAAGUAUUCUAGCUUCAAUUCUAUAUAUAUAUAAAAGACAAGUAAUUUUUUCUGUAAAACAAAAUUUUUAUAUAGUGAAUUCAUUCACAAAUCAUAAAAAUAAUAUAUUGAACUCCCUCUCUAAAAGAUCAAAUAAUUAUUCAAAGUAUUACAUUAUUGUAUAUCUUUUUUUAAUUAAAUUUUAUAACAACCAACCGCCUAAACAACCUAAUACCGUCACAGACAAAGAGCAGUGUGAUCUUAAAACAGAUACUUGGUAUACAUUAUUAUUAUCUUUAUAAAGAAUUAUUAGAAUAUAGAUGUCAAUAUGCAAAAAAAAGAUUAAAAAAAUAAAAUGAUUUAUUAAAUUCACACAAUAAAAUUAAAAAGCAAAAGAUCAACGCGAACAUCAUAUUGCGCCAUAAGAAUAGAAAUUUUCAAAUAUGUUAUAAGCCUUCAUAAAAGACCAUAUAAUUUAAUAUAAUAUACAAUAAUUUAUAAUUCAUGAUAAUAAAUUAUAAAUAAUAAAAAAAAAGAGAAAGAAAACUUAUGAUUCAACUUACAGUAUUCCUGCCUAUAAUUCUUUCUCCUUCAAUUUUAAAAUCCAGUUGAUGAUUGCCAUCCAUAAAAAAUCAAUAACUAUCUUUUUUUUUUUUGAGAAACAAAUUAUUAAAAAAUAAGAAAAAAAAAUUUGUAAAAAUUAAUUACACAUUACGUUGUUUUGUGGUAGAAAGCAAUAGAUUAAAAAAAAUAUCUAAAGCAUAUCUUUUGAACAUGGAAAGACAACAACAAUAUAAUAUUCAUGUCUUUAUUGCUUAAAAAAUAAAAAUAUUAAUUGUAAGAAACCCUAAAAACUCUCAAUUUAUAUAAGAAGAUAGACUCUUGAUAAGCUUUUCCACUUCUCCUCUUCCAUUAUUCAUAAAAGAAUGAUUACUUAGUUUUUUUCUUUCUCAUUUAUUAUUUGGAAGAUGAAAAGAUUAGUUGUAAGUUCGCCUCUUCCGUUACUCAUACAAGGUUUUUCCACUUCUCCUCUUCCGUUAUUCAUAAAAGAAUGAUUACUUAGUUUUUUUUCUUUCUAAUUUAUUAUUUGGAAGAUGAAAAGAUUAGUUGUAAGUUCAUCUCUUCCGUUACUCAUAUAAGGCUUUUCCACUUCUCCUCUUCUGUUAUUCAUAAAAGAAUGAUUACUUAGUUUUUUUCUUUCUCAUUUACUAUUUGGAAGAUGAAAAGAUUAGUUGUAAAAAAUUCUAAAAACUUUUCAUUUAUAGAUAGACUCUUUCACUUCGCCUCUUUCGUUACUCAUACAAUUUAUAAUUUAUUAAAUUUCAAAUAAAUUUAAUUGAACUUUGAAUUUACAACAAAUAUUAUUAAAUAACUACUAUUAAUAGUGAUGUGAAGGGUAUUUUGAUAAUUAUGCAUGUAUCGACAAAAAAGGGGCGAGAUGAAACCAACAAACAUAUUUGCUUAUAAUAAUAAGAAUAGAUUUGAGUUCUUUUCUUUUUUAAAGAGUUAAAUAGCAUUGAAUCUUUCUACACUUUUAAAAACAGACUAAAUUAUUAAAAAAAAAAGGUCUUUUUGCAUAAAAAAUCCACUAAUUCUGGGCUUUUGCAAAAUUGGGUCGCUAUUUUCGAUUUUGCAGAUUCGGUCCGAAUUUUCAGCAAACUGACCAAAAUACUCUUAUUACUUUUUCUCUUUCCUCUUUUUUUUUUUUUCUCUCGUUCUUUUUCUUCUCUCUUCGAAGAAGGCAGCGGAGGCGGAGGCGGAAACAGCCCGCCUUGCCUCUGCUCUCCACGCCCCUGCCUCGCCUCUUCCCCGCACGGCCUCGCCCUUGCCCUUGCCCUCGUCCUCACCCGUGCACCCCCCGCCCUCCCGCCUUUGACCCUGCUGAGGCCGCGCUACGACCCUCCUUCCCCACUAGGGCACGGCGACGUCGAGGCGUAUUCUCUUCUCCUCCACCGCGCAUUGAAAUGCCGUGACAUUACGACGUCGUGGUGGUUGCGAUAGAGAGCAAGGGAGAUGUGGUGACCAAAAAAAAAUUAUAGAGAAAAAAAAGAAUAAUAAAAAAAAAAAAAUAUUUUUUUUCGUAGAGAAAAGACCAAAAAAUAAAGAAGAAAAAAGAAAAUAAUGAAAUUGUACUUUUAAAAUAAGGUUACACUAUUUAAAAAAAGUUUUGCACUGUUUUAAUGAAAGUUGGACUAUUUGAUAUAGAAAUUACACUCUUUUGGAAUUAAUUUUACACUUUUUAAACCAAAAUUACACUCUUUAGGAGAAUUUUGCACUAAUUUUUUUUCUUUUCUUUUUCUCUUUUUCCUCUUCCUCCUCCUCCUCCUCCUCCUCCUUUCCUCUUUGAUGCACCAUUUCUUCAAAGAGAGAAAAAAAAGAACAAGAGAAAAAAAAAAGGAGAGAGAAAAAGUAAUAAGGGUAUUUUGGUCAGUUCGCUGAAAAUUCGAACCGAAUCUGCAAAAUAGAAAUUAGCGACCCAAUUUUACAAAAGCCCAAAAUUAGUGAAUUUUUUAUGCAAAAAGGCCAAAAAAAAUUAUAAAUAAUUUUUUAUUUUUAAAAAUUUAUAUUUGAAUUUAGCUCCCGUCGUCAUGUUUCAUCACUGUUCCGUUCGUUAUAAUUUAUUUAAAUUUUUAGUUCUCUCUGAAUUACAGAAAACUCUCAUGUAAAUACUCAGUUUUUUUUUUACUUUCUUUUCCUGACUUUGAGAAACCUACAUUUCACUUCUUAAAAUUUUAGAAAUAUUUUCAAGAGGGUGCAGUGUUAAUAGAGAGAACAAAAUGACCAAAUUACCCUUAUUUUUUUAUAAGAAAAAAUAGGUUUUCAAUGUAUUUCUAUUAUUUUGAAAAGCAUUUUCGGUAUAUAUUAUAAAAAAUAGACGGAAUAAUGAUGAAAUCUUGACAGAUGGGGCUAAAUGUAACAACUUGAAUUGUUGAGGUGGUAAAAUAUAGGUAUUUGAAAGUUACGGAGGAAAAAUAAAAAAGCGGAUAUUUAUAGAGGGUUUAUGUAAUUCCACCUAUUUUUUUUUAAGAGUUAAAUAUUAGUGUACCUUUCAACACUUUAAAAAUAGAUUAAAUUACAAAAAAUCUUCUUAUAAAUACCUGCUUUCUCAUUUUCUCUCCCUAACUUUCAAAAGCCUAUAUUUUAUUCCCUCAACAUUUCAAAUUGUUAUAUUUAGCGGCAGUCCAUUAGGGUUCCAUCACUAUUUCGUCUAUUUUUUAUAAUUUAUACCGAAAAUAUCAUUUAAAAUGACAGAAAUACAUUAAGGGUAAUUUGGUCAUUUUUUCCUCUUAAUUAACGCCGUAUCCCAGGAAAUAUUUAUGGAAUUUUAAGGGGGCAAAAUAUAGGUUUUUGAAAAUUUAAAAGAAAAAAGUAAAAAACGGGUAUUUAUAAGGAGAUUUUCUAUAUUUUAGCCUUAAAAAUAAGGCCUUUUUGCAUAAAAAAUCCACUAAUUUUGGGUUUUCGCAAAAUUGGGUAGCUAUUUUCAAUUUUGCAAAUUCGGUUCGAAUUUUCAGCAAACUGACCAAAAUACUCUUAUUACUUAUUCUCUCUCCUUUUUUUUUUCUCUCAUUUUUUCUCUCUCUCUCUGAAGAAGUCAGCACAGGCGAAGGCAGAAACAGCCCACCUCGCCUCUGCCUCGCACGCCCUCGCCCUCACCCUCACCCUCGCCCCUGCAUCCUCUGCCCUCCUCACCUCCGACCCUGCUGAGGCUGCGCCGCAACCCUCUUUCUCUACUAGGGCACAACGACGUCGAGGGGCAGUCUCUUUUUCUCCGCCGCACGUCGGAACGCCGCGACGUCGUCAGAGGCGGCGAACUCGCCUCCGACGACAUUGUGGUGAUUGCAAUAGAGAGUAAGGGAGAGGUGGUGACAAAAAAAAAAUAUUAUAGAGAGAAAAAAUAAAAAUAAUAAAAAAUAAAAAUAAAAAAUAUAUUUUUUCUACAGAAAAGAUGAAAAAAUAGAGAAGAAGAAAGAAAAUAAUGAAAUUGCACUGUUAAAAUAAAAUUACACUGUUUUAAAAAAAAUUUGCACUGUUUUAAUAAAAUUUACAUUAUUUGAUAUAAAAAUUACACUCUUUUGAAAUAGAUUUUAUACUUUUUAGGCUAAAGUUGCACUUUUUAGGAGCAUUUUGCACUAUUUUUUUUUUUCUUCUUUUUCCUUCUCCUCUUCCUCCUUCCCUCUUUGAUGCACCAUUCUUUUGGUGCAGACGAGCUGGUCCUUCACCUGGGGCGUCACCGUCGCCGCCGUCCCCGAGUCCUCCUCUUCCUCUCUCCGCCGCCAUGCCGCCGCCAUCUGAAUCUGCUACUGCUGCUGCUGCAAAAUCUUGGCCGCCCACGCGUCCCGCUGCAGCGGGGGAAACGCGGAUUCGGGACCCGCCGCCGCGGCGUCGGGGUUCAGCUCGGAAAGCAUGGAGUCGACCCAGGCGGUGAGGCCGGAGGGGUUGUAGUAAACCGCCUCGGGGGGAGGCGGCGGCGACGACGGCGGAGUCGAGGCGCUCGAGGCUUUGCGCCACAUGGCGGAGAUCCGACGAUCGCACGCGGUACCCCGCGCCGGCGAGAAGGCCGUCGAUCUCGGCCCGGAGCUCUGCAGGGAGGCCGGGUCGUGGGCCCCCCACCCGUCCCCUCCGCCCGCUGACCCGAAGCCGUACGGACACGACCCCAUGGCCCUAGCACGCAUCGCCGCUACCACAAUGUGAGAGCGGAGGCAACGCUGGCUAUAUAUCUCCGGAGAUACACAGAGAAAAUUAAGAGGGAGCGUUGAAGCGAUCUCUCUCUCUAUCUCUCUCCUUUUCUCUUCUCUUCUCUCUUAUGUGGGUGACAGGAAGCAGGGGAGGGACCGCGGCAGAGGUGGACGUUGGUGCCGGCGACGGCGACGACGCCCCAGGGGAAGGACCAGCCUGUCUGCACCAAAAGAAAUGGUGCAUCAAAGAGGGAAGGAGGAGGAGGAGGAAGAAGAAAAAGAGAAAAAGUAAAGAAAAAAAAAAUAGUGCAAAAUUCUCCUAAAGAGUGCAAUUUUGGUUUAAAAAGUGUAAAAUUAAUUCUAAAAAAAUGUAAUUUCUAUAUCAAAUAGUACAAUUUUUAUUAAAAUAGUGCAAAAUUUUUUUAAAAUAGUAUAACCUUAUUAUAACAGUACAAUUUCAUCAUUUUUUUUUUCUUCUUUAUUUUUUGGUGUCAAAAAAAAAAAUUUUUAUUUUUAUUUUUUAUUAUUCUUUUUUUUUUAUAAUUUUUUUUUGUCACCACCUCUCUCUUGCUCUCUAUCGCAACCACCACGGCGUCGUAAUGUUGCGGCGUUCCUAUACGCUGUCGCGGCGUUGCGACGCGCGGUGGAGGAGAAGAGCCUGCGCCUUGACAUCGCCGUGCCCUAGUGGAGAAGAAGGGUCGCGGUACGGCUCAGCAGGGUCGAAGGCGAGGAGGGUGGGGGGUGCACGAGCGAGGACGAGGGCGAGGGCAAGGGCGAGGCCGUGCUGGGAAGAGGCGAGGCGGGGGGCGCGCAGGGCAGAGGCGAAGCCGGCUGUUUCCGCCUCCGCCUCCGCUACCUUCUUCGGGCAGAGAAAAAAAAAAACGAAAAAAAAAAAAGAGGAAAGAGAAAAAGUAAUAAGAGUAUUUUGAUCAGUUUGCUGAAAAUUCGGACCAAAUCUGCAAAAUCGAAAAUAGCGACCCAAUUUUGCAAAAGCCCAGAAUUAGUGGAUUUUUUAUGCAAAAAGGCCUAAAAAUAACUUAUAAAAUUAAUAUCUAAUAUUAGUUUUAAAAUUUUAAAAAUAUCUAGUAUAUUUUUAGUUGACUAAAAUAUUUUCAUUAAUUUUCAAAAAAAAUUCUAAGAGUAUUUUGGAUAUAGGAGACUAAAUUUAAUAAUUUUAAAUAGUAGUCAAAAAUAUAUAUAAGCAAAAGCUCCUAACAUAUAUAUCCUCUAAAAUUUAUAUCAAUUUAUGUAUUUAUAUAAACUUUUAAUAUCUUACAAAAAUAUUCUUCUAAAUAUAUUUUUAUUAACUUUUUAUUAAUUUUUUAGCUUCCAAUCCUACCAAUCGAAAAAAAUAAUAACAAAUUAGAAUAUCAUCUCCUACCAAAUUACAAUCUCUCUUUUUCAUUAGAUUCCAUUACCUUGCGCCUCGCGCUUAGGCGCGUUGCCUGUGCCGCGCUUUUCCAAACAUUGAUUCAAACCGUUAAAAUAAAUUUUCAAAAUGACAUAAUUGAGAGGGGAUCCAGACAUUUUAACCUUCCUUACUCAUUUUCUAACGGAACAUGUACAUCUCUCAAGUGAGAAUCUUCUCUCCACAGCUCCGCUAAUUCCGCGCUACGUCGGCAGCCAAGUGCUGAAGUUCUGUCAGAUUGUAAUAUGAGUACAGAUGGAAAGGACCCAAUUGAAAUAACUCGCGAUACUCGGAUACACGAUCGGCGAAAGAUUGAAAGAUCAGUGAUCCAAUCGAAACUCGACGCAACGCGCCACAGCACCACCACAAAAGGCAGCCUGUUUGGUCACUGCUUUUCCUCUCCAGGACAGCUAACCACCGCAAAAAUAGCAGCCUGUGUUGAAGUUUUCGCAGCCCGCGCAUUUUAGAACAGCCAGCCGGGCCAGACAAGAGCCUAUCUUUCAUAUCUAGCACUUCUGCCGCAGAAAAUAGUUCAACGGAGUUGCUGUAAACAUUACCUGCUUGUCAGAAAGUCUGAAACUGCAUCGCAACAAACACGUUCACAGCAUCCGUUCGAUCUGGCCAAAAGGCGUCUCAAACAGAAUGGUUGUUUAAGUAAACAUUUGAAGAUGCUUUACUGAAUAAAUUUACACUAAUGAUAACUUAUAAAAGGGUAAAAUCUGGAAGAAAACGGAGAACUUCAAAAAGAAAUUUACUAAAUAAAAUCUUCCAGUUUUACAUCAGGCAGCUGAGUGUCUACCAUCUGUCAAAGUGUCGGGUACACUGCCAUCUUAUAUUAUGCUCACACAUUCUUCGGAAUUAUGCGACAUUUCUUCGGAACAAUGGAGAAGAAAAACACAAAGAAAAAUAAAAUAAGCUAAUGAUGUUGUUCCAUGCAAAGCACCAAUGAUGUGCAUCAUCACAAUGCUUAUUGGCAAAAUAAAGCACAAACAGAUGUCCGAGGAGGAGAAAAAGUGUUCGUUUCCACGGUGUGAAAGCAAGCAAGAUAUUCGACCGUGGGCUUAUCCCGUGAGUGCAGAUGCUCCUGAUAUGAUCUCAAUCAGCUCCGUCGUGAUCGACGCUUGGCGGGUCCUUUAAAAACAGAAUUACACAGAGAAAAAAACAUCAGUUACACACAGUAUCCAUAAUCCUGUAAAACAAAAAUGUAACCGUGCAUUUACGAAUAUAUUCAUUCGUAAAAUAGAGUUGAGCUAAAAAGCUCAAAGAAACAUCUAUGAGCUCGUGCUUCCACUUUUUUCCAUGUCAGAUGCACAUCCUAAAUUCCCAAUUCAUGUGCGGGCCCGAUGAGCGUGCAUCUUAAUACACAUCAUGCGGGUGAGUGUUUUGAAGAUGGAACAUGCAAAUAUCAAGGUUCAUCUGAAAGUGCAAAAGAGUAAAACCACUCCAGUGCCGUAGUUUUCUAAAGGAUUUCCGCCCAAAACUACAUUACAUAUCAAAAAAUUAUACAAAGGUCCCUAGCAAUUCAGACAGUUUCAAAAAGUCCCUCAAGAACCUGCAUAUAAAUUGCCCAUGUGCAUUCCGGCAUGUGUUCUUGCGCGUGUUUGUGCAAGGACACACACGCAAGCAUUCUCACGAGAGAGAGAGAGAGAGAGAGAGAGAGAGAGAGAGAGACCUGUUAUAAGAAAGGGUAAGACGAUCAAGCAUUUCACCAGCAUUUCUGCUGGAGCUGUCCAUGGCAGACAUUCGUGCUCCAAGCUCACUACAUGCGUUCUCCAGGGCCGCAUUAUAGAGAACCUAAAAAAUCAAGAAGUGUUUUAGGACAAAUAAUGGCGACAGGACCACAAAAAAAAAAAAUCAAAUUAGUUGGGGGUCCAGUGUUUUUUCUAAAGUUUAUCUUCUACAGAAAUACCUCAUCUUAAGCUCUGAAAACAUCAAAUUCACUUUUGGGGGGGUGGGGGAUCGCAAGUUGGUUCUAUAUCGUCAAACAGAAAUUCAAUGAGGCACUUUUGGUAAAUACAAGGAUAUAUUUAUAAGAAAUUAAGUUUUUGAACAGCAUAUAUGAAGAUUCAAAUGUUGCAGGGAUCUAUGAUAGAUAAUAAGUAAUAUAAAGAAUGCCUCAGCAAAUGUACGAGACUUACACAAGAAAACUGAAACUCAGCAAGAUUCUGCAGCACUUCUGAUUUGGUCUCACCCCCUUCAAUUUCAUAGGAAUCCAAAUCGCCCAGCUUCCCACCAGCUUCUGAUUCUCUCUCCACAACCUGUACAGAACCAGAAAAUACAACAGCUCUCAAAGUAAUUAUCAAUUUAUUAUCCCUACCUGUGGGGGUUGUGGUGGUGGGGGAACUGUAGAGAAAUAUUAAAGUAGGAUGAAGGGGAAAAAAAAAAACUCAAAUCACCUCAGGUGACAAUACUGUGGAGACAGUGGGGAUAAAGGCGACAACAGAAUGGAACUUGUUGAAAACAAUCCUCAAUGCAUCAAACUCAACAUUCUUUAAGAUGUCAUCAGCCAGUACAGAAAUCUGAACAAAGAAAAAAAAAAAAAAAAAACUAAUCAAGAAACUCAAAGAAAACCUUAAUAAUAAACAGAUUUUAAAUUGGAAAUACAUCAAGUAAAUCCCUAUUACUAAAAGAAUAAAGCAAAACAAACUUUCCAUGCAACCAUGACUGAACAUAACAACAAGCAUGUUAUAGAGGUUCUACUAAAUCCUGUGACAAAGAAGAAAUAACCCAGUACUCUUUUUGAAAUAAAAGUUUAGCAAUAACAAAUGUGAGAUACCUGUGUGUAAUUGACAGGGUUCUUUUGGAGCUCCGUUACAGUCAUCUCAAUGGAGCCUUUAGAAUCACGAAUCAAUUGAACCUUGCCCUUUUCUCCCAAUAUGACAUACUUGGUCUCCUUUUCUGGACCUAAUGGCCACAAACGGUGCCAUAAAAUCUAAUUUGCAUCAUCACGGUAAUGAAGGUAUAACCAACAGUUGAUCAGAUUGAGUGGAUUUACCGGAGGUGACCUUGAAAAGAGACUUGCUGACUUUAACCGAUGUUGAAUUGAUGCCACCACAAAGACCCUUGUCGGAGGUGAUAGUCACAAUAACAUUCUUCUUCACAUCAACACCUGGAAGUGACAUGCGUUGACACAGAGAGAAGUUUGUUACACAUAACACAUAGCAAAAGUACCAACCGAAUCAUCGAGGUGGCGGGCGUAAACGAGUUAUCUUGCAAUCUCUUUCACACAUUAACAAUCUAGAUGAAAAGAAGGAGAAACAGAAUUACAUGUCAAGAGAAUCAAAUAUAAUAUAUAUAAAAUUGGAGAAUUUUGAGGCCAUACGUGAAGCCACGUCAUCCCUCUAUUUAAAAAAAUGUAAAUUUGGAUGAGAAAAUAAAAAGAAUUUAUAUAGAGACGUGACUUUUAGCUUAGUUUUUUUGUUAAUACCCCUUCGUGAUUUGUAAAGAGAUGUACCUUUUCACUUAGUUUUUGUUAGUACCCCUCCGCGAAAGGCUAUUCCCUUCGCAGAGGGAUAAGUUUACUGAUUUAAAUGUUUGGUAGUUAUUAACAUAUUGUUAUGAUAUUAUUUUAAAAUAGCAAUAAAUAUACGAACUCUUAUUUAAACAAAUAGUACAUUGAAUUUACAAGAAUGCUUCUUAUCUAUCUCUCCUUUCUACAUUAUAGACUAUACAUAUUAUAAACUGCAACAUAGUUAUUAAUCUCUUGAUUAUGUCUAUCAAAAUAAAAAUCUAAAUCGUAGAAUUAAUUUGUAUUUAUAUAACUGAAAUUAAUUAUUGUUCCGUGCAUUGUACGUGAUUAAAGCUAGUUUAACACAUAAAAGCAAGGCAUGUCUAGAAUGAGUGAUCUUCAUCUAUCUGAAUAAACACUUAUAUCGAGAAGAUGAGGCGGGAUUCCACUCGUAUCAUCUGUUCCAAGAGGCAAUCAAGCAGUAAUAGAUGAGAGAAUUUCCCUACUACUUCCAACCGAGUCUAGUUAAAGAAAUCUAAUAACAUAAAUCUAGCAAUGCUGACUACCAUGGGCAAUGUAUGGUCAUAUUAGUAGAAAUUUACAGGUUUGCACCAAGAAGGCAAGAAUAACUUUAAAGGUUGGUGAUUUUAGUGCCUAAGCUAACAUCAUCAUCAUCAUCAAGAAGUUAAUGUACGUGUCAGGAGGUUUUCUCCAGUAGAGGGAUGUAAAAUAUUUGAUUAACGGGAUUUAAUUGAUUUGGGAUUAGUCGUUGGGAUUUCUCAUAAUUUAAUUGAAUCGAUAAUUUGAGGUCGGAUUUGAUUAGAGUACAUUCUUGAGAUUAGUCAUAAUUUGUCAAUAACCCGAAUACACGCUUUCUUACUAUUUUUAACUAACAACAGAGUAGGAUAAAGUAAACACAUCAAAAUGAUCUCCUAUAUCUUCAGAAAAAGCUACUUGCUCACCACCACCACCACCACCCUGGACGCCCGCGGCAAACAAAAAAAAAAAAAAGACUAAUUAUUUAACGAAUCCACUGAUUCUUCUAAAGUGAAAUUAAUCGCAUUCUUGGUUUUAAGUGCAAAGAUUUCUGCUGAUUUAUGGAGCCAAACCCUUAUAACUAAAAUGGAUAAAUAAAGAAUUCUAUAGAUUCGCAUUGCAGCAGAAAAUAUUUCCUCAAAUCAUAAAUUUUCAGGCAGAAAUACUACUAGAAUUUCACUACAAAUAUUUCUCACUUACUCUUUCAAAGAAACAGUUUUCAGCCAUAAAAUCUUUAAUACACAAAUUUCUCAGCCAUACAUAGAUUCAAUCUUUUAUACCAAAUAACUGCCAAAGUAGGAAUCUAAUUGAUCAUUUUGACUAUAUUCAAAAGCCAAAUUUAACUCAACUUAACAUCAAAAGAGCCCUCUGCUAAUCCAACUAUAUCUGAAAAUGGAUCCUGUCUAACUAAUGUAUCUACUUAGCGUAAACUUCAUAUAACAAAUCCAGACCUUUGGGCUUUGCUGAAAGUGACUCAGAAGAAUUGGAUAAACAUGCUUCUUACUGCAGGAUGCACGCAUUAGAAAACCCAUAUGAUAAAUCCAUAAGCCCCCAAGUAUUAAAUAUAUGCAACACUUAUAAGAACAACAUUUAAUACAUUUACCUCUCUUGCAGUCUAACAAACAGAAAAUUAAAUUUGGCAAUGAAUUUUGCCAAUUACAACUUCAUGUAUAUUUAGUUAGUUAAUAAUCUUCUAGUUCCUUUUCCAUCUUUAAACAAAUCUAGUUGACAAGCUAACAGACAUCCUUAAUUUUCGUUAUUCUAUUGUUUGGGUCAUCCUGUAAGUACACGCUUACCUACUCAGCUUCUCCAUAUCUCACACUCUAUCAAUUGCAUACCUGUUGUAUACUUAAUACAGUCAUUAUUGUGAAUGACACUGAAUCUGUCUCUCUGUUGCCAAUUUCUGUGGAAAAUAUUUAAGAACUAGCUAUUCAAAUGAUCUCCCUAAUAGUCCUGACUAGUCAAUGUAGUAGUACCCUGAUAUAUGUAAUGUUUGCAUCACUCGUCAUAUAGAGUGGCAUAUUAGUCUGAAAUGGAGAACACAGAUCACUGCUUCUAGAAGUAUCAUAGGACUAGGGAAAAACAAGUAAUGGCUAAAUACAUACUAGGAGUAUCGCCAAGAAGUGCGGUAAAGGGCUGCCAGAGGCCACGUGAAUUCUCAGUUCUUACUUGAACGGCUCGCAGCUUUGAUGCUGCAACCAUUUUCAUUGCCUUUGUGAUCUUCUGAAUGUUCUUAACACUCUUCAUUCGAUUUCUCACUGCAUUAUAUAUGUAAGAAAAACAGGCCCAAUCACAUUAACGUAAUCAAAUGAAAUUCUUUGCAUAUAUAACUCAGCAAAUAUGCAACUGCACAAAUACCCUUGCAAAGAAGUAUUUGCAGGCGAGCCUGAAAAUUGUUUUCAUUUGCUUUCAUGUUCCUACAAGGGUAACUACACAAAAACUGGUUUUGCACAUAUGCCCAUGCAACGGGUAUCCAAAUAAGCAAAAUUUUCAAGGGAUACAAAUUCCACACUUUUACAGGGGUAUUUCCACAAAUUCAGAAAUUUGCUGGAGUUAUAUGCAAAAAGCCCAAUCAAAAGUGGCUUUAAUACAGAAAGAACACAGUAGGUAAGGGAUGAAGGUCUAUUACCAACUUGAGUUGAAAUUGAUCGCAACCCAAUGGGAGCUGAUUGUCUGCUAAUUCAAGAUUCGGUUAGUACUCUAUGAAAUAGCAUAGAUACAAAAGUAGAAAAGGGAUUUCAUAUGCUAUAUAAAACAAAACAAAUAUGUCGGUUGAGUUUGGAGAUGCUUAUUUCCUAUAGGAGAGAAUGGAACAAAUAAGCAAAAAUGAAGUGAAGAAUGACACAAUUAAAAGAACACCAAGCACCACAACCAUUAGAAGCAUCGAUCAUGAAAAAAAUGAGGGGGGAAGAUAUGCAAAAUAGAUAUUCCAGAUCCUUCUUUGUUCCUAUAUAUCCACCGCAAACAACCAAAACGCGGUGAUGGCUACAUAUUCAUGCUAAAUGCACUGAUUAGAUAACCUAUAAUCCACUUUUCUGUAUAACGCUCUUUGACAUACUUAAAAGCCAACAACUACCCAACCUUAUCUUCUAUAUAAAAAAACAUAGAAGCAUUACACAAAUCACAAUUCUCCUUAGAUAUACGAGUGCUCAAUAGUAAAAAUCUCAACAAAGAAGAAAGAUAAAUCACAAACUACUCCAAAUGAUAUGGCACUAACUAAGAAUGGCACAACAUUUCCAUAUAUAAAAAUGAGACCAAAUAUUGUAACUUGCUUCAUUAAUUUACUACAAUCGUUAGUAAUGUAUAGCAAAUAACUUGUAAUGCAUGUAUCCAAAGUAAUACUAACAAACAUAUUUUAACCCAAACACCACCCGAUCUUAUUUUCUCCAAACAAUUAAAACAUAUACACCAUUCCAUACAUCUUGAGGUUUUUUUUUUUUUCCUUUUUUCACACAAAGAACAAACUCCACUCCAUAGUUUAACUUCUACAGUAGAUGAUCCACAACAUUUUCAUCUUACCCCAAAAAAUACCAUAAAUUUCUAAAAAUUAGUCUCUAAAAUACUCAAAUUCAUCACACGAUUCUCAUUUCAAGUGGCAUUCAAAUGAAUCUACUUCGAAGGAAUAAAAACAAACAAGGGAGAUAUAAAAGUAAUGCAUUUUAGAUCUACGAAAAGGGAUUAAACAGAACCAACGUAGAGUUCCAUUUCAACGACCGAUCUACAAAUCUACCACGGACCGAUAUCAAAAUCUAAUUCUCAGAAACUCUAGAACUGGUAUUUGGGCCAAAUCAUAAGAGGUGAACCCUAAUACUAUCGAUCGAAGGAUGGGGGACCUUACUCGGGUGAGAUCGACAUCGCGGAUCGCGCGGCAGAGGAAGGGUUGGGGGUGAUCGGCGAGAGGAGGAGGCGCCUCCCCUCCCUACGCAAAGCGGCCAUCGCCAUGGCUACUUUCUCUCUUCUUUUUCUUCGCCUCCGCAGAGCUCCCUAGAUGGUGGAGUGAGCCGUCGUUUCAACCCGGAGAGCAAAACUGAAAGGGAAGGUAAAUAUGCAUGAAACCCCUCACCUAUAGCUUAUUUGGAAAAGACGCAUCAACUUUUAUUGUUGGGAAAUAUGUACAACGACCCCUAAAUUUAGCAAGUUUGCGAACCAGCUACAGAGCUUUUUAUUUUUGUAAUUAGAUAUUUAAAAUUGGGUUAUUUCGUAUAGAUUAUUGCAAACAUAGUAAAUAAUAAAUAUAUCCUUAUAAAGCUUAAUUUUUAUAUGUUGUUUCUGCAAAAGUUUUAAUAUUUUCAAAUAUGUUCCUCUACUUUGAUAUCGUUAGAGAACACCAUUAAAAUACUGUUUAUAUUUUUAAUUUUGCCAUCACAAAUUUAUCUCUCAAAAAACAAUAAUAGUAUAAUACAAGAGAGAUUAAAAUAUCAAAAACUAACGAAAAUUAAGUAUUUAAUAUUUUUGUAAUUAGACAUUUUAAAAUUUUAUCAACUAGGUUAAUAGGACCUUCUCCUCCAUCAAAAUCACUAAUUAUAUAAUUGUUUGAGUUUACCGUAAACUGCACUACUUUAAAAUACAAAAAAAUCACCCCUUUCAUCCUCUCUCUUUCUUAGCAGAAAGACGUUCUCUACAAAGAAACUAACACCCUAGAUGAGGAUAUUGAUUAGAUUAGCAACCUUGUAUAGAUACCUUAGAUGCGAAACGCAUAUACGGCUUCAAGAAAAUCAAAUUUCAUGAUUAUCACAUUGCAGUAUAAAUCUCUACCCGCGGAAAGGUAAAGAUCAUAUCUUUAUUCCCUUUCUUUUAAUUUUAAAUACAUGAGGAAUCUUGUUUUGUGUGUUUUCGAGAUUGGCUUUCCAGUUUUUUUUUUAAAUCUAUUUUUGUUUGAUUUUUUUUUCGCUGCGUUUUUAUCGUAUGCAAUAUCUAACAAAAAGUGGUAAUUAGCUCUAAAAGUUUUGCCUAUAUAAUUGGUUCUCAAAAUUAUUAAUUUUAUUAUUAAAACACUUAACCAUCUUGCUUCUUUGAUAAAUAACAGUAGUGGUCAGAGGAGAAGUUAAAAUUUAAUAAAAUACUAAAAAAUUUAAAUAAUAUAAGAAAGUAUAACUAAAAAUAAUAAGAAUUCUUUAUCAUUUUCACGGAGAACUGUUUGGGGAUAAAGUUGGGAAAAUAAAAUACUUGCGCCCUCAUGUUUUUAAAUUUCACUUAACUUUGUUUUCAUUUACUCCAUUAGGCACUCCGCACUAUUCUGCGCUUCUGAUCGGAGUGCUUUGCUAACCGAUCGGACGGACAAAAACGCAGUAAUAAAAAUCCACUUUACUAUCAAUAAAAAACCAGCACAACUAUAUAUAUAUAAAGGCAGAGGAUAAGGAAGUGAGUCAUACUUGAGCGCGGUGCCUUCCGUCUUUCAGUGUCGUUUUCGAAUGUUCACUUGUCGAAUCGUCGAAUCGCGUAAACUUGAAUCAAGAGAUAUUACGUAUCUAGAAAUGAAUUUAUAUUUUCGAAUAUCAUUUGCAUUAUCGAAUGGGUUAAAAUCACAAAUUUCCAAUAUGCCUUAUGAGUCCGUUUUGCUUAAGUUUAAACCCGUGGAAAAAAUAUCAAAUAACGAAAAUUUGAAGAAAAUUUUUAUACUAUAAAAAGCAGAUCAAAUAUCUUAAGUUACCCUAUCUUUAGUUGUGCGGGAAAAAAAAAUAAAAAAAUUUUGGGUGAUUUGAUUAAUUUCUCACCACACUCCUCCUAUACUAUCAACAUCACCCGUUAAAAGUAAUUACCUUUCUCUGAAUUAUAUUCUGCUUAAUUACUCUGCAAGUGAGAGCUCCCCCGACUCAGGGAGGCCCAUGGACUCAGUAUCGACUGCCGACUCGCGUCCAACGUCUUCGAGCAGGUCUUCGCAUCCGGUACGCUGGCAGAAGCAAUCGAGGGUGGUUUUCGUUACGUUACUCUGGGAUUUUGUAGACGCCGUUUCAUGCCAAAGUUAGCCUUUGAGUAUAUUCGGUUGCAUAUGCUCAAGAUAUUGCAUUCUCGAACGCUUGGGUGCUGAUUUGAAGAAUCAGCUCGACGUUACGCGUUGCCCCUCUCAACGUAGAGCAGCGAUUUCGACGACUGUUCUGUAUCGGAAAUUUUCGAGAGGAAUCCACGAAGCCCUUACCUUGCUGAUUUCGGGUUAGUUUUCAUUAGUCAAUUAUUUUCUUCCGCUGCUGUUUUUGGGGAGGCAGAAUCGGUGUCAUUUCAUUUUUACAUGUAGGUUUGCUGAAAGCGUCAAUUUCUGGCCUUGGAGUUCGGACUGAAUUCCACAGUGUCUCUUUGCAUUCGCGGACGUCCUGCGCUGGAUUUAGACGACUAAAGGUGUUAACAUCUGCUUAUACUCCUAAGUGGCAAUAGUCAAACAUGUGUAAUUUUCAUCGAUUUUUAAUAGUUUAACCUUUUAGAUCGAAUUCAAUCUGAUUUGUAUAGAUCACCAAAUCUGAAUUUGGAGCAUGUGUAUUAAAUUGAGUAUAUUUAUACACAUGUUUGGACUUUGGAAUAAAUAGGAAAAAACCUCGAUUGGAACUUUAAUGUAAAACUGCCUGAUUCCUGCUCUAACCGUUAUAUGAAAUUGUAUCUGUCUUUGUAAUUUCGUAGGAGCAGUUUCAUAGUUUAGAAACAUUUACCCGUCUGGUUAGAGGCGCCGAGUGGAUCUUUUAACAGGUCCGUUGUGCUGUUUCCAGACGUUGGGCUUCGUCGGCAUGUUGAACGGGAACACCUGUUCGGUCUUUUAACAUGACUUGCCGAAUGCAUCGUUACCUAUGGUUUAGACCAUUUGAGCUCGGUUCAUCUGGGACUUUGCUCAAGAGCCUGGAUCUCGACAGGAUACGCGCAUAUUACUUGUUGUACGCCCACAUGCCACCCGGAGACUGCUUUGGUGCUUUUGCGUUGUGUCCGAGGUCCAGCCCUGGGUUGGACUUGCCUCCUCACACGGACCUUAGUGGGAUGAGCUGUAAUCGACUGGUCAGCGACGGUGUAUACAAGAUCCCCAUCUGACAGUAAUUUACAGCCAUGAAUGGAUUGGUCACUUUACAUUUUUCUACACUUGGUUAGUUGUAGAGCAUGAAUUAAGGUCAUUGAUACGGUAGGAGUUUAUCUCGUGCUGCUUUCUAACUAUUCUUGCUACCCUCUGUAGACUUAGUUGUGGACCGAUAUCUUUGGCGUACCCACUGAGGGACUACUUUGUUUUACCAAUAAUUCCCUACGGUGCAUUGUUACCGCCUGUUGCAAGCCAACAGGUCGAUCUUUGGACAUCUAAAUGACACCGAAAAAUAAUUUAAACUGCUUCUGCUAUAAACGUCCGUGUGAUCUGAGCGCGACUUCUUUUGAGUGAUUUGUUUUAUCUAUCGCUUGAUCGCCUUAUGACGAGAAUGUCGUGUAAGCGAGAUUAAGUGAGGCUCUCGAGUACUCGUACCGAGGAGCACUAUCAUCAGAGCGUAUAGGCACUUCUUCUGAAACUGCGAGGUAAUUUUGUUUCGAGUUACGUAGACAAUAAUUUUGCCUAGUUACCUAAACUCAGCAACAGUCUCAAGCGAGUAACACUGGUAUUAGUUUGCUGAUUUACUAAUUAUAUAAACUCAUUUUUUAGCUUUUGUUUCUUCUAGCAGUCUAUACUACUUUGUAUAUUGAGAGCGUACAGGUACAGCUGUCCCUAAUAUAUCGUGACAGAGAAACUCCUUCUGUAUACCUGUUGUGAUCAACUCGGGCUGUAUGCCCUGGAGAACGAGACACAUGCACGCGGGCGACAAUUCUGAUUUAAAUUUUGAAUUCAAUACCUAAACAUUUUGAGAAUUUAUAUUUAUAUAGGUCCGGUCAAAUAGAGACAUACACCACCAUUUCGAUCAGGGACAAACAUGAAGCAAAAAUUAAUCGAACAGAAUACAUGAUAUAAUUCAUUGUCUCAGCUGACGUGUAUCCGCAUUAUAUUCACUGUAUUAGGAGAAUAUCCACCAACAAACAGCAACAAUUCUUCUUUCGCGAAAGCUUCAAGUUAAGGUGAAAGCUAGCAGAAAAAAUUUAAAAACACACAAUAGAACAAAUACACUUACCUUAGCAAUGAAUAUCAAGUAAUAUAUUAAAAACGGGAGCACGGAGACUCGAUCCCUGGACAAACAAACGUCUGCUAAGCUUCGCGCAUACACUAUCGAAUAUAUGAAGAAAAACUCGACUAGCAUCUAAAAAGCUCGUGCCUUCCUCGAUAAGCAGAAAAGAAUAGUAGCCGUUCACGUCUCUUACCUCCACUCUCUGAGAGAAAGUCUAUCAGACUCGCCAUUAACCUGGCAAGAAAAGCUUUGGCGUGUGCCUUUCACCCAUAUAAUUCUACGUUGGAUAAAACCACCUACUUCAACAAAUCUAGCAUGCCCAAAACGAAUCUAUGAACUUGCUACAUGGAGCAAUCACUCCUAUCAUAAAAAUGAACGAACGCAAGCUAUCACACAUGUUAACAACUGCUAAGCAUUAAAGUCCUCCAAUAUAACAGAAAAGACAGACUAUAAUACCCCAGCAAUGUACUACCCAAUACCCUCACUCAAUUUUGCUACUUCGGCCAAUAUUAACUAAGUAUCUCUACUUGACUGUAACAAAGCAAAUAGAAAAAUUCGUGUAUCAUGAGCUUCAGCUCAAAACUAUAAACAUAUGAUGAUUCAGAUAAAGAUCAUAGAGACAUCAACUAUAACGUCCAUUCUCAAUUCAUCGCCUAAACAAAUGCAUGAAAUUGAUAAACCCCAUAUAAACAGGACAAAAGUUCAAAAAAUAAAAAACACCGAGUGAGAGGAAAAGAGAGCAGAUUUUAAUUAUUGCCAACUUUUUGUCCUGUUUAUAUUUUACAAUCAAUUCUCAACUCUGUGGCUAUCGAAAUUGAAAUGGACGUCAGAUUGAUGUCUCAUAUAUUAUCAAUCAUGCAUUCUUAGUUUUAGUCGAGCUAUUACACACGAUUAUUGCUAUUUCUCUUGUAACAAAUUAGAGAUUACCCGGUAAUAUGGCGAAGCACAAAAAUGUUGAGGAUUGGAGUAUCAUUGCUUAUUACCAAUGUCCCCUGCUCUUAUUCUGUUAUACUUGGAGGGACUUUAACCCUUAGGCAGUUGUUAACAUGUUGUGAUUUGUCGCAUUUACUCAUUACUCCAGUCAGAGCGCUAGAGUGCGUUGGGCAAUGCUAAUAGUUGAAAUUAAGUGUACGCAUGUUACUAUGGAUUGAAAAGGCACACGCCAAGCUUUUCCCUGCGCAGUCUAACUGGAGUGAUACACGACUUUUUCUCCUCUUGUACUACUAUUUUCAUGAAUCAAUCACUGUUCAUUCUAAUAUUGCAGCGACGUUGUGAUUUAGGAAUUCCCUGUUGAUAACAAUAAACUAAGAGUAUGUUCUCCGUUUUUUAAAAUAUUUCUAGCUAGUCUUCACCCUAAACAUUGAGAAAUCGAAUCGCCAAAUUGUUACAUCCAGUUUGUUUGAUAUUUCCUCCAUAAUACAUAUACAUCCGCGGCCCAGAGCCCGCUCGGGGAUUCUAGGACUCCCUGUUCGAUUUUCAAAUGCAGCCCUCACCUCAGCGCUCAUCAUCUCUCUAUAUAUAAACUAUAUAUAUAUAAUAUAUAUAAAAUAUAUAUAUAUACGUAAUAUAUAUAAUAUAGAAUAGGCUACUAAUACUAUCUAUGAGUACGGCUUCCGUACUAUAGUUUGUUCGCUAGCUUCUAAAGAUCAACGAUACCACACCGUCAAAAUAGAUACUAGGUAUAUGAAGUUCUUAAAGAAAUAAAAUUUUAUUUUUUCGGGGAAUCAGUUUACCUGUGAGGUAAAUAUUAUGUCAAAAUGACGGUGAUAAUUAAUAUCCUUAAAAUUUGGAGGUAUAGGUACUGUUAUUCAUUCAAGAUCAAGAAUGUUCUUCUUAAUCUAUAUUAGUUAAAGAAUUUUCUAAAUCAAUUUGAAUAAAUGACGAUCUCCUUAACCGUGAAUAGUCUCUCAAACUCGAUCAUAUAUAUCAUUGAAAUUGACAAAUUUUGAAAAUAUUUGGAUCAACAAAGUAAACCAUUCGAAAAAUAAAAAUUAUUCGUAAAAACUUAAAUACCUAGGAUCAAUUUAACUGCGUGGGAUCGGCGUAUAUUUGAGCGGCCCAGAAAUCGAAAACAACACUCAUAGACCAAGCCCCUACUAUAGAUAGUAUAAUAGCCGAUUCUAUCUAUAUAUAUUACUAGUUGAGCUACUUAUACUUUUACAAGUAUACCAUCAUGUGCAUUAUGUUUUAACCAAUUGGAUCUGAGAAGUUUUGAUAUAUAAUAAGCCCUUGAUCAAACACUACUCCACACCUAUCCAUCCACCUCUCACCCGUACGGCGGCCAGUCAUGGGUCUCACCUCACUCUCUCCAUCUCAAGGGCUAAAAAACACAAGUUAUACAAGCGCUGCGAUGACCUUUAAUUUAUGUCGUAUGCAUAUGCCUUGCUCAUCUGUAUCUACUUCGAAAGUAAUUUUUCUGAGACGACUUCUAACCUUAUCAGUGGUCGACUAAUGAUGAAUAUAUAACAGACAUCUAAUUUAUUCCCAGUUAUAUUAUGAAGUUAAGCAAAUUUGUAUUAAUGCAAAUUAUCUGAUAUCAAAAAAAGAGAUUUAGUUAGCAUUACCGAAUCAAAUACCAUCUACAAUUACCUGUCAAAGCAACAGCAAAAAAUAAACAUAUUAGUAUUAUAAGCUAGGCCUGUAAUCUAAUCGGUCAAACCGAGACCUCGUGCUACCAAAUGGUUCAAUGGAUACUCGCUCUCCGAGAGAGAGUGAUCGCUCGCAUUAGACCUGAUCUAAACAGGACCUAUAAUAAAAUAUUGGCAAUUAAAUUUUCAUAAUUUUCGUAUCUCAUUACUUAUCAAACGUAUUCUAAAAAUAUUAAAUCGUUUGAAAAAUAAAAUUUCGGAAUAAAAAAUGAUGAUAAGAAUGAUUAAUUUAAAUCAAAAGUACCGUGAUCUAUCUAAAUUAGGUAAAUAAGUUAUUUCUAUAAACAAUUCUCCAUCUGAUCUUGAUUGUUUUAACCGCUGUAAAUUUACAAAAUCAAUCUACAUCUACCAUUUAAAAUAUCAUCCUGAGACGUUUUUGAUACUAGCGCAAAUGAUGUAAAUAACAAUUAUAAAUAUUUAGAUUUCAAAUAUUUUUAAUAUGUAUGAUCAACGUACUAACGGAGCCGAUGUUAUCUGGGAACGGCAUAAGAAAUAAAUUACUGGUACUCAUAUAAUAUAUUAUAUUCGAGUGUGUGUGCUAAUUAGAGCCACGGAGUGCCUCCGGUCCUCCAAACAUUUUACGACAUGAUAAGCGAGAGAGCGACUGGCUCCGGUUAAUUGAUCCUAUGCGAUUACUUAUCUAGGAAAUAAUUUGUGAAUUCCAUAUCAUAUUUCUAGCAUGAAAGGUUUCAAGAAUCAACACAAUUAAAGUGUUAUAGAUCAUUCGUCUAAGUUUAACAGGUUACGAAUAUUCAAAUCAAUAACAUUGAUAGAAAAUCUUGUAUACUAUUACAGCAAUAGACAAUAGUUUGAUCGAAAAUUUUUAAUUCUGAUAUCACCACUGUUUAGGUGAGGAUUGUUAUUUUCAACCAUUGAUUUUGAACCCUUUCAAUCGUUAGGUAAAUGAUAUCGAAUAGUCACAAAAUUUAUUUUCUAGAUACUUCAAAUAUGCUAGAUCAAGUCUAACGGAGCCGAUUGUCGAUUCAGAAGCUCUAUCAUUGAAAACAGCUUAGGAGCAUGGAGGCCUCCGUGCUCCUAAUAGCACACAAGACCUACUCUCUCUCUCUCUCUCUCUCUCUCUCUCUCUCUCUCUCUCUCUAUAUAUAUAUAUAUAUAUGGUAGAAGCAUGAAGCUCUUUGUGUUUCUAAGUCGUUUUCGAUGUUGGGACUUUCGAAUCGAUGAUCGGUUCUUGUAGACUUGAUCUAGAGCUUUUGAAGUACCAAAAAAAGAAAGUUUCACAAUUUUUUAAUAUCUUUUACUUAGUGGUCAAAAAGACUCAAAAUCAAUGGCUGAAAUUAUAAAUCUCACAAAAUGUGAUAAUAUAACACUAAAAUUUUUUAUCAAAGAUAUUGAUCUCGUUUUAUAUAGUAUAAAAAAAUUUUUAUCAAAAUUUUAUGUGAUUUGGAUAUUUCUACAUAGUUAAACUUACAAACAUCUCAUCACGACUAAGUAAAAUUGUUGAUUUUGAGCCCCUUCGAUCACUCGACAAAUAAUAUCGAAAAAUUACGAAAUUUAUUUUCUAGGUAUUUUAAAUACUCUAGAUCAAGCAUACGGAGUGAAUCGUAGAUUCGAAAAUCUUAAUAUUGAAAAUAAUUUGAAAACACGAGGGCACUGUACUUCUAAUAGCAUAUCAGUCUAACUCUCUCUCUCACUAUAUAUCUAUUCUUAUUAUUAUAAGCAAAUAUGUUUGUUGGUUUCAUCUCGCCCCUUUUUUGUCGAUACAUGCAUAAUUAUCAAAAUACCCUUCACAUCACUAUUAAUAGUAGUUAUUUAAUAAUAUUUGUUGUAAAUUCAAAGUUCAAUUAAAUUUAUUUGAAAUUUAAUAAAUUAUAAAUUGUAUGAGUAACGAAAGAGGCGAAGUGAAAGAGUCUAUCUAUAAAUGAAAAGUUUUUAGAAUUUUUUACAACUAAUCUUUUCAUCUUCCAAAUAGUAAAUGAGAAAGAAAAAAACUAAGUAAUCAUUCUUUUAUGAAUAACAGAAGAGGAGAAGUGGAAAAGCCUAUCAAGAGUCUAUCUUCUUAUAUAAAUGGAGAGUUUUUAGGGUUUCUUACAAUUAAUAUUUUUAUUUUUUAAGCAAUAAAGACAUGAAUAUUAUAUUGUUGUUGUCUUUCCAUGUUCAAAAGAUAUGUUUUAGAUAUUUUUUUUUAAUCUAUUGCUUUCCACCACAAAACAAAGUAAUGUAUAAUUAAUUUUUACAAAUUUUUUUUUCUUAUUUUUAAUAAUUUUGUUCCUCAAAAAAAAGAAGUAUCGUUUUUAUGGACCGGCAUAUCAACUAGAUUUUAAAAUUGAAGGAGAAAGGAAUUAUAGCAGGAGAUACUGUAAGUUUGAAUUAUUAGUUUUUCUUUCUCUUUUUUUUUAUUAUUUAUAAUUUAUUAUCAUGAAUUAUAAAUUAUUGUAUUAUUAUAUUAAAUUAUAUGGUCUUUUAUGGAGGCUUAUAACAUAUUUGAAAUUUUCUAUUCUUAUGGCGCAAUAUGAUGUUCGGUUGAUAUUUUGCUUUCAAUUUUUAUUGUGUAAAGAUAAUAAUAAUGUAUACCGGUAUCAGCUUUUAAGAUCACAGUGCUCUUUGUGUGUGAACGUGAAUAGGUUGUUUAGGCGGUUGGUUGUAUGAAAAUUUAAUUAAAAAAUAUAUAUACAAUAAUGUAAUACUGUUGAAUAUAUAACUAUUAGAGAGAGGGAGUUUCAAUAAUUAAUUUUAUGAUUUGUGAAUGAAUUCACUAUAUAAAAAUUUGUUUUACAGAAAAAAUUACUUGAUCUUUUAUUUUAUAUAUUUAUAUAUAUAUGAAAAAACUUCAAAAACCCCCCUGUGGUUUCGUAGUUCUCACUUCCCCCCUUAUUUUAAAAGUAUCAUAUGCUCUCCUGGUUUUUUUUUUUCUCUACUUAUCAAUUUUUUUUUAUUUGCUUAAAUCAGGAUAAAGUUAAAUUAAAGCGUACUAAAUGUGAAUAAUUGAUAAUCUAGUAUGUAAGAUAUCUUUAAAUUUUUGAUAUUAAUAAUGCAAUAUUAACGAAAAGCUACCGAAAAGAUCAAAAAUGAAUACACAGGGUGGCAAAGUGAGAAACUACUAACACGGGGUUUUGAGUUUUCUCUAGAUUAUAUAUAUAUAUUUAUAUAUAUAUAAAUAUACUAUAUAUUAUUAAUAUAUAUAUAUAUUAUAUUUGCACUUUACUGCUUGUUAUGUUGCAGUAUCUCUUUUUAAGUUUCAUUAUUUUAAUUAAAUUUCAAAUAAUAUUAUCAUUCUUUUUUUAACAAAUGUAUAUGUAGAAUUAAAGAAUAGAAGUUAGAAAUAUAAUGGUGAUUUGCAAAAAUGAAAUUGGAUCUUACGUUAUUGCCCUAUAAAUGUUUUCUUAUAGUUUUCUAGGUUAGACUAGGAUAUUAUUAGAUCCAUUAAGAGUUUAAUAAUAUGAUAUUUCUUUAUAUAAUUUAGUUUUAUAAAAUUCAAUUUAACUUUCUUCUAUGAUUUCUAAUUUUUAAUUUUAAUUUUAUUUUAUUUUAUUUAGAAAAUAUUUGUAACGCAUAGUUAACUUGACAUUAGAUUAAUCGAAGCUAUAGAAACAACCUACUGCCUCCACCUUCACCACAGAGGAGCAUUUUUUUUACCUUUAAAUGUAAAAAUGUAUAGAUACCCUUUCAACUAUAAGCAAUUAUGAAAUAACAUCCUCAACUUUUUUUAUUUUACUUUUUUAGCAAAAUGCUUGGAGAGAUCUUGCCCUAUAGGCCAUUUUUAAAUAGGCCUCUCUAAUGAUUUUAUUUUUUUGCUGACAUUCUCAAUUUUUUUACUAUUUUUUAAAUUUAAAUUUUAUAUUUACCUAUAUUAAAAAUAUAUCAAAUUUAAUAACUUUAUAUAAUUAUUAAUUAUUAAUUAGUCAAGGGCUUCUAAUCUAAAAAUACUAUACUAUUUAUUUAGUUGUGAAAAAAAUAUUAUUUAUUUAAUUAUUAUAUAAAUUUAAUAUUAUUUAAUAUAUAUACAUAAAUUUUAAAUUUAAUAUUAAAAUAAUUUAAUAUAUUUUUAAUUUAAUAUGUAAAUUAAUACGUGCAACGCACGUGCAUUGACUAGUACAUAACAAAAAGAAAACGAUCACAACUCCUAUUUCCUUUUCGCUGUCUUUUUUUCUUUUUUCUUUUUUUUUUUACUCUUCUCCCUCUUAUCUUUUUCUUCUUCUCUGUACACUCCUCUUCUUUCUACAUUUUUUUUUUUUUAACGUCUUCCUUUUUCUUGGCUGGGUGUGUGGAUGCAGGUGUGAAAUUGGAGGAACUGCGGAGGCGAUGAUCACGUUGGCCUUCUUGACCACGGGGGCUCAAAUUAUUCAUACUCUAUUUUUUUACAUUUAUUCAAACCUUAUAAAACAAUGAAGCAUCUUAGAAUUAUUUUUAUAUUCUUUUUAUAAAACUUGCUAUUUUUAUAGAUUUUUCAUACUACUAAUUUAACAUCAAUUUUUUUAAAAAAUAAAAUAGUUUUGAAAAUAUUAUAUUAUAAAUCAGUGUAUGCACGGGUAACUUGCUAGUUAUAAUGUAUUUACAAGGAUAAGUUACACAUUUGGUCCUCAAAUUAUGAGACAUCAGACACUUUGGUCUUCAAACUUUAAUUUAUUGUAAUUUCAAAUUCGAAUUUUCAGAAUCAUUACUAUAAGAUCCUAUAAUCCAAUUUAGUCGACUAAAUAUUAAUAUAUUCCUAAUGUCGAUGUAAUAUAUCGAAACUUCGGUAGAGUAUAUCGAACUUUAGUCAAAUUGACCAAAGUGUGCGAGAGAGAUAGUUGGACAAAGUUCAUUUAACAUUCCAACAAUGUUGGAAGGGUUAAAGUUGAGUUUCAAGAGAGUUAGAAAGAUUUUAACAUUACUCGACGCGAAUUGGGGUCGAAACGGUGCAAAACUCAAGUCUGGAGCAUUGUUAAUCGAUAAUGCAUUGGAGUGGUACCGGUACCAGGCAGGCACCCGAGAACAGCAGCUCGCGGGUUUGAGUUAAAAAGGCUGUUAAACCGGUGACACCCCUGGUGCGUACCGGUACCAGGUCUGUUACCCGAGGAGGCAGCUCUCGGGUUUGGCUGCUGCAUAACAGUUAAACCGGUGACAAAAUCCCGCGUACCGGUAUGCAGUGCCCCUCGCAGCAGGUUGAGUUUGCUGCAAAUAAAAAAAAUGGAGGGUUUAUUUGCAAAUGUGACAGCCUAUAAAUGACCCCACACCUCUCCUCUCGUGUUCACAGCAGUGAACUCACUUUUCUCUCAUUUCUCUCCCUCUCUCUCUCUAGGAGCUCUCCCCCAAGGCUAAAGAAAGAGAUUGGAAGAGAUCAAGAGGAGAUUUUGGGAGCUUUUGAAGGCUUUGGACUCUCCUACAAGGUGGAGUUUGGAGAGCUAGUAGGUUAAGGUGAGAUUUCAUGCAAGAUAGAUGGUAGGGUUUGGUUUUAUACCCUAAAUCUUUUGGUUUUGAUCUUUGUGCAAGACUAGAAACCUAGUGGAGGCCAUGGAAUCCAUGAAAACUCAUGUUUUCUCAUGUGCUCUCAUGGUGGAUUUCUAGGAUUUGCUUUAAAAGCCCUAGGGAUGGUUCAAAUGAUCUAGAAAUAAUUUUAGAUGGAUUCUUAGAGGAUUCUAAGCUUGUUCUUGCUUAGUUCAAAGAUCAAACUAAGGUAUAAGGCUAUAUGACAUUAAUAAGGCACUAAAAUUGGGGCUUUUGCCCUAGGUUGGUUUAAAGACAAAUUGACCUUGUAGAAACCAAAUUGAGGAUAUUUCUAACUUGUUGGUAGACUCGGUUCGCCAAUCUGACGAGUCUACACAAUGAUAUUGGGAAAAAAGUCUAAUUUGGCUUCGCUUUGCCGCAGGCGAGAGAAUAGAAGCCCAAAAAUCACGAGAUUUGAACCGUAGCACCUUUUCAACCAUACGAGGUAGGUGGUGCUUUCCGAAAUCGAUAAAUUUUCUUUUAUAUCUAAAGUGUCAUUUCUUUAACAUAGGCUAUAUAUGAUCAUUAUGCAUUGUAGAGUUGACCGAGAUAUCUUAUUUGCAUGCUUGUAGUAUAAAGAUGCAUAUGUGAAUGUUGAAUAAAGUGGAAACCCUAUGUAUGUACGAAUGGUGACAAAGACCUAGAUGAGGUAAAGAACAAAAUGACAUUAUGACAUAUGGAUUGUGUGGCAUUAGUAAACACAUAGAAUGUCAUUAAUGAGUUUUGAAUGCUAGAGUUGAACACUUAGUAUGUGUGGCAUUAAUGAAUGCUUGUGAAUGAGUAUAAAGAACAUGUAGUGCAAAUGACAAUAAUGAAAGUUAAAGAAUACAAGUAAAGUUAGAUAGUUGAUAUUAUGACAUAACAAUCUUAAAGUUAAGGGUCAUAUGAGCAUUGUAUCCUUAUAGUGAAGGAUUGGAUUGAACUUGGUAUCCUUAAAGUUAAGGAUUGAUCAUACUCGCCUAUAAGUCUUGGCUCGAAGGGUGGUAGCUCCCCCUCGAGCGAUGAGCUCCGGAGUAUCAUCACCGGGUUAGUGUUGCCCAAAGGACGGUCCCGUCGGGAGGAAGCUUAGGGCCCGAUAGUAGGGAUCGGAAUUGGUAAAUUAUUGGUUGAGGCGAAACCUACGGGUUAACCAAAAGGACCGGGAAUUAAUUGGAAAGUAGAUCUUGCAUUCAUCAUGAGCAUUCUAUUUGAGCAUAGCAUUGAUUAUAUUGUUCAGGCAUAUUAGUUGCAUUUGUUUAGUUGGUUACUAUCUAUCUAUUCUUCUAUUAUACCUGAUUUAGACCUAGUCGGAAAGUCGGCGAGGUGGGCGGCCGAACCCACUGGAAACUUUGUUGUAGUUCUCAUCCCCCUUUUUCCACAGAGCCGGGACCGAGUGAGCCGGCCGACGAUGGUAGUAAAGGUAUUGCGCCAUAGACAGGGACCACCCGUAUUGGUUAUAUUUUUGUGUUGUUGCAUACCCUUUAUAUAUCAUCUUUUGUACUUUGAUGAUUAUAGUUGUAUGAAUGAUGCAAAUGUAUUAAUGAAAGAAUGUAAAGAGUUCUAUUUUCGGGAAUAUGUGAUGUAAAAAAGAAAUGAUGCAAAGAAUAUAAAAGAAUACAAAUGUUGAACUCAUGUAUGUGGUUAAAAUUAAUCAUAUUACUUGUAUGUUGUUUAGUUAGUACUUUCACUUUGGCUAUUGCUUGCCCUCGUGCAAGCCAAGUAUAUUUAUGUUUCAGCUGUGCAAUUUAUAUACUUGAUCUGUACUUGUUGUCGAGGCUUGUGUAAGGACUGAGAUUUUGACAGUGUAGCUGAACUCUCUGUUGACGAUGUUUUUGUGUGUAAUUUAAUUACAUAGCACUCGUCAAGUUUCGGAAGAAAACAAGCUAGAAUGGAGAAGUUACGCGACCAGGACUGAUGACUUAAAGUGAAUAGUAACUCCGGCUUUUCGGAUGAGCCAGUGAGUAAAGAAGGGUUCUGGUGCGUAUUGGACUCUGAACAUAGGACUCCAAUAGCUCAUUUCGAACGGCUCAACUAUUCUGAACCCAAUGGCACUGACGGAAUUGGGCUCUGAUGCUCGGUUGUCGGGAAAAAGCGGUUUGAUUGAUUUCACAUAUAUUAAUAUAGGUGGUUAUAUGGUGGUAUGUAAUGAGGGUGGGUUUUGUCGCAAAUCUGUGAUCAAAUCGGAUGAAACGAAAUUGUAGUUUUGAUGCCCUCAUCAUGCUGAACACGAUGGCGCAGUCGGAUCAAAAAUCCGACGGACGGAUCACCGGAUAUUUCUUGAUGAUCGGGAAGGGGUCGAUUGUGGCAAAUCGGAUACUUCGCAAUAGUCUUGAUAUUUUAUGUAGCGAUUUGCGCGGGAUCAGUCUUGGAGAUGCAUUCGUGCAUUUUACACGUGCUAGCAGGGUCUGAACUAAAAAUAUUUAGCUUUGGAGGACAUUUAAGCAUAAUGCCGCUUGUAUAUAAGUUGCGACUAGGUUUUCGUUGCAUGAAACCCUAGAUCUAGCCGACCCAAAUGCCUAGCUAUGCCCUAGUCUUCACCAGCCAGCUCCUGCCCUAGCCUUGCGCGCACCCCGGCCGCCGGCAAUCUCCCCCGGCCGCCGGAAAAGCUUGGGUGGCCUCUCCUCCACCAUAUUCUCUACCUAACCACCAUAGAUCACCCUUCAUCUCUGUCGUGGGCCUCAGGGAGAGAUCCACUAGCCUCAGGCCUCUUCCCUGGCUACAACCCUAACCCCGGCGCCGUCCCUGCCGCAGCCGAGCGCCGCUACCACCGCCCUGGCUAGUUGCGGCCAGAUCUGAGCAGAUCUGGCCGAGGUUGUGGGAUCUCCUCCUCCUCGCCCCGCUGCCGCUCGGGAUUGGAAGCACCACUCUCCUCGAACUCCCCGGCACCGUCCCUGCUAGCCGUCGCUGCCCGCAUGCGCCGCCGGCGCCGUCGGGACCAUCCGCGACCAUCUUCUGCAGACCCCAGUGGUCCCUGUGGGUUGCCGGCCACCGCCCUGCUUCAUGCGGCCGCCCAGCAGACUCGAGCUGAGGCCCGCGCAGCCUCUGGUCCUCGCAUCGCCGCCGCCUUCGAGCAUCUAGGCCGUCCUCCCUCAGCCUCAGGUGACAUGCCACCGUCGCCCCGGUGCACCUCCGGCCACCGCGGGACCGCCGCUGCUUCCCUGGGCCCGAGCCAAGCCCGUGCGGGCUCGGGUUGCUCCUGAGCCGCCGUCGCCGUCCUCCGUCACCGACCGACCUGAGUGCUGGCCUCCCCUGGUUGGCCGGACCCGUCCGCCGCCAGCUAACUCGCCGCCGGAGCUCCCUGUCAACCGUUCUGAGCCCAUGCUCUCCUCGGGUUGUGCAACGAGGGCAUCGUUGCCCGCCGUCGUCGCCUGUUGACGCGAGCCCCGGCCCUCUCUGACUUGGCGCACCUACCCCUGGCCGGCCUGCCCACCGUCCGGCCGUCGCCGGCCACCCUCGAGCCCUGCCUAGCUCCGGUAAGCUAGUAUUGCAAUUAUUGUGCACUGUUUGGAGAUGUGUAUACUGUUCCGGCGACCCGAGGCUGUUCCGAUGCCUCCGGAAGUGAGCACGGUGAUCGUCAGUCAGUGCUGAUCACAGUGCUCACCUCAAUUGGGGUCAACGAGAGUCGAAUGUGUUAUUUUGAAGUGUUUUAGUUUCAACGCACAGUUUUCGCUAAAGUUCGCGUCGCUCGUGCGCUUGCCACAGUGGCCAGCAGUGCUCCGAAAGGUGAGCAUGGUCUCCGGCACAUCGAGACCUGUCAGCGGGUGUCCCGGCUCGGCUGAAUGAGCAUCGGUUUACGCUGUCGGGCCAUAAAACCCCGAAAAUUGCGUGAAAUAAUGCGAUUUCACGUAAUAGGGAGGGUUUUUAUGCAUUUGUGCUUAAUGUGGUUGCUGUGGGUAGUGUGUAGGAAGAGUGGGUGACCUCUGGACUGAUCGUCCAAGGCCCCAAGCCUUUGCGAAAAUCGAAAAGUGAUUUCCGGAGCGUUUUUCGACAAAAUCCGCUGACGGAACGCGUUUUCGGUUCGGAACUCUUCCGACGAUACUUCAUGAUGAGUUGUUUAGUCGCUGAGCCUUGUUGGCUGGUCACUCGCGUCAUUUCGAGGGUUUAGAAAUGAUGGAUGAGCGACGGCGGGUUCCGGUGUCAAAAUAGACACUUUUGGGAACCCGGAUCCGAACGAUUAUCCGACGAUAAUUGUUUGGAGACGAUAUUUUGUUUUUGCUGCCAAGUCACACUAAAAUAGGUGUUUUGUGGUAGCGGAUGACUCGUAUCUUGAGUCGGUGUGUCCCGGGACAGUUCGUGGGUCCCGGCGGAGUUCCGGUGAGGUUUUCGGGACUUCCGGCGUGUACGGCAAUCGGUUUGGGAAACUGAUUUCCGUGGGUUUAUUUGUGGGGUUAUGUGUUUAGUAUUUUUUAGUUGUGGGUUAGAUAUUAACCCGAUGGACCCUCCGUAGGUCCGGUUGUCUUUCUUUUGCAGUCAGGAGAUAGACGUGACAUCCUUACAGGUGGAUACUUCAAUCCGACGUUGGUACAGUGGUGCACGCUCAGUGAUGGUUUCUUACCCUUGCUCUUUUGUUAUUAUCCAUGCAUAUAUUAUAUGUUGAGCUUUGCACCUCUAUUGUUUACAUUACACUCUACUCAGAUGUUCCCAUGCUUAGUAUCAGGUGUAGGAGUAGAGUAGUCUAUCUAUUUGUGAUACCUAUGAUCGGGUUGGUCGAUCCUCGUACUUCGUAUUAGUGACCUGGUUGGUCGAUUCUCGUAUUUCGUAUUGGUGACCUGGUUGGUGGUUUCUUGUACUUCGUAUUAGUGACCUGGUUGGUCGAUUCUCGUACUUCGUAUUGGUGACCUAGUUGGUGGUUUCUUGUACCUCGUAUCAGUGACCUGGUUGGUCGGUUCUUUGACUUCUGUUGUCCGAUGACCGUUGAGGUCGGUGUACCCUGAGGGGUAGGAUUGUCGGCUAGUGGCUGACGGUAGUUCCAGAUUAUAGUGAUACAUUCCUGUGAUCUAUUGGUUGGUUCUUAUAUCUAUACUUUAGUUGACCUAUCGAGCAGUAUUUCCAUACUUUUGAGAGGAUGUAGAGUCGUUCCAUCCUAGUUGACCUGAGUGGUCGGUUUUUGUGCUUCCUUACAGUUGAUAACCUAUACGGUCGGUGAGCCCUGUGGGCAGGAUUGUCGACUGGUUGCCGACGGUUGACCUUUGAGCAUAUCAGCAUUGAUCGCCCGAGACUCGUUCGCAUUUCACGAACACCGGCGGUCUGAUCCACCGCAAGGGGUGUUCUUUUUCGGAAAAGUGGUUGCAGGUGUUAACCCGUGAGCCCAAGAGGGGUUACAUGCAUGGUAGAGUGGCAUUAGUACUGUCAGGAGGUUUGCGGUGCGGACCUCCAGGGCACAGGCUUGAGGUUUAGGUACGGACCAACAGAGCAGCAGAUUUCAGAUUGGGUAUAUUUGGUCUAUACAUCCAGUUGACGCAUAUGUCUAUAGUAGCAGUCGUUGCAUGCAUACUUACAGUUCUUACUUUACAGUUGUCUUGCUACUAUAGUAGAUAUUUAUGUAUGCUUUCUGUUCUAGUUACAAUAGCGGUAGCCGUUAUUCAGUAUAGUUCCUACUUUCUUUCAGUUUAUUACUACUGUAUUCAGUAUAUCUGCUCAUUACCUUAUUUAUCUCUUUCUGAUCCGGUGAGUACUCUUCGCCUUCAUCGGCUUGCGGAACCCACUGGGAGGGGAGACAUGUUUACAUGUUCUCACCUCCCCCACCAUUUUUCAAGUAUUGCGGGCCGUGAGUUUGAGACGAGACGUGAGACACGUGGAUAGCUGUCGAUAGAACUUCUGACCCGGUUUGUGUAGUUUAGUUACUACCUUUGUUAUUUCUGUUGAUAUAACUUAGACAUCUAUAUGGUUCAGUAUUUCAUUAUGUUUAAUUAUUCAAGAUUUCAGUUGGUUUUUCGAAUGAGAUAAAGAUUUCUGAAUUUUUGUAAAAAGGAAAGGUUUUCUACCCCUCGUGGUAGCGUGUUUUAAAAAGAAAAGGUUUCCGUGUGGGAAACAGCUUUCAAAAGAGUUUUCUCAUAUUUUUCUUGAAUUAGUAUUUCAAAAUAAGUUUCUGGGGAGGAAAUGUUUCAACUGAUAGUUGUGGAUUUAUAUUCAGAUCUAUGCUUAUGAACCUGUGGUGAAUGGUGUAUGGAUAUUGAAUGUAUGAUGACUUGUAUAUUCAUUUAAUUGUGGUUGUAUCAUGUUUUACAUUUUGUACUUGUGCGACGCCGUGCAAAUACAGGGGAGACUUUGUCCGUGUGAACAGUGGAGUCCCUGUAUUUGUGGCGGAUCGGCAUACCCUGGGGUCAGGUUUUCAAAAAAAAAAACUCUAGUCACUUCCGCUGUAUUUUCAAACUAAAAGGGACCCCGGGGCGUGACAGCUUGGGCGAACAGGGGAGGUGCUGUCCGUUCGACGUCUGUUCGACGUGCCCGAACCGAUCAAAUAGGCCGGGCUUGGAGCGUGACAGUCGAACUAAUACAACAAUGUUAUAAAUGAUGUAAUUUACGCUAUUUACAGUUGAGCAAUGCUAGAGCUACAACCUAUUUUGCAUUGUAAUCUUGCAACCCUCGAAUCCAUGAACCUCUUCUUCUUUAUUUCUCAUGUUACCAUCUAUUUUUUCACCUAAAAAAGGGCGCGUUUGGUUCGCGUUAUCUUUUUAAGAUACCCAGUAAUCCAAUCGGAAUGUCAAAAUAUGACAAUAUUUGGCUAAAUACAUUAAGUAAUAUAUUUGGUAAUUUUAAAUUCACUUGGUAAUGAGAUUAAUCCCAAAGUGCUAAUCAUAUUCCAUUGGGAGAGGGUAGGUAUCUCACAUUAAUUAUUCGGGUAAUGUUAAAUUUUUUUAACCUAACCUAUUAUUUCCUCCCUCCCACGUUUGAGAACCUAUCCCCGAUCUCCUCUCACACCAUGCGAGACUCUCCCCAACCUCUUCUCUCGACCUAGGGUACCAUGCCAUGAUCAUCUCCACCAAUCGCAAGGGCAUCGCUCGCCAUCUAGGGUUUCCUUACUCCAGAACAAGGUUCGUUAGAUAAUUUCGUCUCCAUUUUCUUUUCCCAUUUCAAAUCCCAAUUCCUUUUUUUUUUGAUUUUUUUGAUGGAUUUAUUAUUAUGCGACGAGCAAAAUUUUUCUAGUUUGUAUUGAUGCUAUAAAAUGUUGUUUAAAUAGGUUUAGUGCAUUAUUUAUUUUGAUUUUGAAUGGAUUUAUUGUUUAAAUGAGUUUUUAUUCUAUUAGUUUUGAUUUGGAUGGGUUUAUUGGUUAAUUAGUUUAGAUUUUGCAUGGAUUUGUUGUUCAAUGCAUGUUUUUCCAGUUUAUAAUUGUAUCCUCUGAUUUCCUGCAGUAUUAUUUUCAUAAUAAAAACUUUGAUUUGGUUAAUAAUUUCACGCUGCACAUUUUCAUCAAUCUAUAAAAUAAAUAAAAAGUGAGCUUAGAAUUAAUCAACCAUAAAUAACAGAGAGUAACCAAAAGUAUGCAAUGAAAGAGCACUUGAUUUGAAGGAAUAGGUUCAAUUGCAACCUUAAAUGUGUAAAGGGAUAUCUGCCUUGGUGAAAAUAGAAGGAGAAGUAUGAAGGUGAUAAUCAAACAAUAAAAUAAGAUAUUCUCUCUGUAGAAGUUGCGUUAGAUCCACGGUUACUAUUUUUCUUACUAUAUUGCACUUUGUUUGCCAAGAAGCUCAAUGACAGCAAUACACAAGUCACGCUUCAAGGAUGAUUUACUUCAUUCUAGUGUCACUAUUUUUAGAAAUUUAGAUAAUCUUAACUAAUUGUUAAUGUCUAAACAUAUAGUAGUCGUAAUUUUUGCCGCUAAAUUGAGCUGAUUAAAUAGAUUCUAUGCUUUUGUAGGUAGAUUCUUUCUUGAGUAUGAAUGUUGUGCAUGAUAUUGGUAAAUCAGUACGCCGUCAGAUUCAUGAAUCUCAUAGUCAAGUUGCAGAAGCUUUCAUACACAUAGGUAGCUAAUUGAUCUUUUAUCUGAAAGAUUCAGUAUUUUUUGAGAAUAUUUGUUAUUCCUAGGUAAUUAACAUCAUGCUUUUGAAUAUGCUAGAAAAGUUGCUUUAUUAAUUUGAACAAAUGAAUAAGUUAAUUCUCUGAUAGUAAUAAAAGAAAGUUGAGUUGAAUUUUUCUUUCUAUUUGAACAGAUGAAUAACUACUUUUUUAAUUUAGUUUGACAGAAUUUUUCUUUCUAUUUUCUUUAUUUUAGUUGUGUUGAAGGUGGAUCUAACUUCAAAAAAGUUCCUGCUCGUGGUCGUGAGCAUUAUAAUGAUAUAUAUGGAGGUGAUUAGAUUAUUGCUACUUUAAAAUUAGUGGUUGUACUCUUUUAUGUUAGACAAUACAUGAGACACCGUUGGGGAGGAAGACUAGCAUUACAAAGGCACUUCAUAAGACAUAUAAAUAUUAGGAGAAUAAUUUAAGACAAUGAUCUGGCAUGUUAUGAGAACACUCGUAUGGAUCGAAGAGCAUUUCAUGCACUUUGUGACCUUCUAUCGACUGUUGGGAGAUUAAGCGGGACCUAAAAUAUGGCAAUAGAGGAAAUAGUUUCUUUCUUUCUACAUAUUAUUGCACAUGAUAUAAAGAAUAUGUUAAUUAAAAAGCAAUUUGUCAGAUUAGGUGAGACAAUAAGUAGACAUUUUAGUAAUGUCUUAAUUGCUAUCUUGCGAUGCCAUGAAAUAUUACUAAGAAAGCCUAAACCAAUUUCUGAGAACUCAACUGAUGAAAGGUAGAAGUGGUUUAAGAUAUAGCUCCUUUUUUUUUAUUGAAUCAACUAAAAAUUAUAUAGUUAGUUUCAAUAUGCAAACAACAACGCACAAUUUUAAUAUGCAGAAUUGUCUUGGUGCACUAGAUGGAACUCAUAUCCUUGUUCAUGUCCCUGUAGUUGAUAGGACUAGAUAUCGAAAUAGAUGUUGGGGAAAACCGCAACGAAAAAUCUGAUUGUGACUAAAAUCUAACUAAUUUUGUGAUAAAAUUAAUAAAUUUGACUUAUAGAUAAUCGCUAAAUCCCAAAAAUUGUGGAAGAAUAAUAUCAAACAAUUUGAUCCGGAAGCGUACGAGGCACUGCCCUAAGGCGUGUAUUCUCGUCCUUCGUGCGGGAUUAAUCGAAAACACCGCCCCAAGGUACAACCGGAAUUCUUUCUCCUACGGACACGAACGUGGAAGAGGUUGACGGAGACUCUUUCAACACCCGAUGAUAAAAGAAUCAAAUCAAAUGGAUUAAAACAACAGAAAAAUAAACAACUCUCAAUAGUAUUUUAAUUUUCACUUUCUCUUUCUUUUUUUUGUCUUUCUUCUCAAGCAAGCUUUCUCAAUGUCAUAACCAACUCAUGAAUAGUGGAGCCUUUUUAUAAUAAACAAAGGGUUAAAAUUUGAACGUUGCACUUUGGAACGUUGUGGAACGUUCGUCCGCUUCUCGCACACGAGUGCGAGCGGAGAGGGACCGCGCGUGUAACGGUGCGCACGAGGCGCAAGCCGAAAUGUCUACAAUAAAAACUUAGGUUAAAUAAUAAUAAAAUACCAAAAUAAUAAUAAUAAUAAUAAAUUAAUGAAUUAAAAAUAAAAUAAUAAUUAUUGAAAAAUUUUGAAUUUUUUACCAACAAUCCCCCACAAAAAUUUAAAAUUUUUGAAAUAAGAAUUAAACUCAAAAACAAAAUAAAUAAAUAAAUCACCGGGUGUUUGUACUAUGCAAUAGGUAAGGUGUCUUUAAGGACUUAAACCUACUUAGUGUGUAAGCAGUUUCCAUCAGAAGGAUUCGGAGUGAACCAGGUCUUGAACUACAUUCCUUUGACCCUGACUUCAGCUACCACACACAGAGUACAGAAUUUUUUAUCGCGGGUCUGUGUGUUAAUGACCAUGUACAGUACCUUCAUUUUUCAUAAGAGUUUCUAUGGACAACCCACAUCUCAUAGCCGUGGUCACAUACGGAUACUCUUAUAUAGGUGGUUUUCUCCAGGGAUGUGUGUAGAGUCACAUCUCGCGAAAAUUACCGCCUCGGAUCCCAUUAAGAGCUGUAAGCUCAACCUCAACCACUACACAGAGCACUACUCACCAUAGGGAUGGAAUUGGAGCUAAAGCUCUUCUAUAUAAAUUGUAGAAAGUGCUUUUUUGCCAACCUGACAGCUUGUUUUUACCACAUUGAACCUUAUUCAAGGCAUCUUCUAUCACAAAGGUUGAGUUUCCACUACAGGAAGUGUCACGCCCCGGAUUACUCGUUCCCCGGGAGCGCCGACAAAUCCGCCGUAUACAAAGAAAUUUUUCCUGUAUACGAAGCGAUAGCUGUACCUGUAAAUCAAACAAUACUACAAACAGUAGUAUAGAGCUGCUAGGAGAAACAGAAGAAAACCAAACCGAGUUCCAUAUACAUAUACCAGAAUCCAAAAUACAAAGCUACCCGCACUGGCGAGUUAAAGAUAGGUAAGUACAUGAACUCCAACAAAACAACUACCUGCAGUAGGGCACCUCUAGCACGGCUCGUCGGGUAGGGCUCUAACUCGCGACGCCCUUGCCUCGAUCCUAAUGAGCAAUAGCAGCAGCCGAAGACGAUGGCUCUGCAAAAGAUGAAGUAACAACAGGGCGUGAGAACUACUGUAAAAACAAGUAGUCCUCAGUGGGUACCGCCCAAAAUAAUAUCGGUCCACCCACUAAGUCUACAGAAGCGAGCAAGAAUAGUAGUAAAUGCAGGAAUACAAUCUACCGCUAUCAAACACUACACUAUCAUGCUCUACACUAACCAACUGUAGGAAAUGUCAACUCUGACCCAAUCCAAAUCGGGACUGUAAGCAUACCCGUCCCCGGGACUGUGAAUACACCCGUCCCUGCCCCGUUGCGACUAUCGGGCUCUAUCCACACUAACUGGUCCGUGGAGAGCAAGUCCAACUGGCAUGAGCGACACCAACGCGAAAGCACAUAGCCUGACUCCGGAGUGGCACUCGUGGGCGCUACCCAACCGAGUAUGCAGCGUAUCUCUGUCGAGCUCAAUCAGGCUCCAACUAGCCAAAGUCAAGUGAACAGGGUCAAAACAGGUCUACAAACCAAA